UCCUCUACUCUACAUUGCAGCAAAGUGUAAGGGGUUUUGUCCUUUCUUCAUCGUAAAAUGAAACAACCCUUUUCAAUAAAAGAAUAAGAGAAAUUGAGAGUUAAGACCAUUUUCUUUCAUUGUACUAUCGAUUCCUCUGCUUCUUCCUCUCUUAGUUAAGCCAAAUAGUCUGUGGUUUCUCCGUUUUUUCUUCACUCCACAUCAAAAAGUAGCAUCUUAGGUUCUCCCAUCUCUCUAUCCCUUGUCAAAACACAUAAUUUAAUGUAUUGAUGUCUUGGAUUCCUCCUAGUUAAAAGGAAGCUUGAAAUAUCUCCACUGCUUCUAUGUUUCUUUGAGUCAAGGGAUAGAGUCUUGUUUUUCUUUCUUUGUUUAUUUGAGAUGCUAGAAGAGGUGUGUAUAGAACUAAUGUGAUGUCAGAGAGGUAUGUAGUAUCUGAAUUCCCUUUAGUCAUGCAAAGUAGCCUUAGAGAUUUUUGGAGGCUUGGGUAUUACAGUAUAUUAAGAUAUUCAAAAUGCAUUAUUACACAUCUUCUUGACUUCCGACAACUCAACUUGUUUUUCACAAUCAUAAAUAUGGAGGUAUUUAAUUAUGGCAGGUGAUAUGCCUCUCAGAAAUUGAUGUGAAAAGGUGGAGAUUAAGGGAUGUGCACUUGGUUUUGCGAAUCAAACAACCCUCAUUUAGUAUAAACCACAAAUUUUGGCAACUCAUGAUCCAUAAUUUUGAGCAUGGGAGGAAGCAGGCCUGUUGGAAAGAUAGGAGGAGACAGUUAAAAGCAUGCGAGAAUUCCAUGGAUGAGUUGCUCUUAUGAAUUAUUCAGAAUCCAUGAGAAACUUCAAAGCUUUUUCUUCUUUUUUUUAUCUUUUUUUUUUUCCUUUACAUAGUUAAUCAUCUUGUUUGAUGUUUGCCCUAUAGUUGGUCUACUGAUGGUAGGCUUCCUUUGGGUGGAAGUAAGGACUCUACACUAAAGGUAAAUUGUGGGAACUAUGUCUUUUUGUGGUAUUGAUGGGGUUAUCAUAUAGUUUUUUUUUUUUUUUUGAUAAGUUAAGGGGAAUAUGGGGUUAUCAUAUAGUUGAUUGAUUCUAUGGCUUCCUUAUAGCUUUUCAAGGCUCUAAAAAAAGAAAAGAACAAAGGUAGACCUAGGAAAAAUAUUCUUCCUGAUUUCAGUUACUCUUUCUAUAUGAACUCUUUAUUUUGGUAAAUUACAGUUAGAGAUGAUCAUAUAGUUGAACUAGGUUUGCUUCCUCUCCUUUCCCUUUCCUUCCCCUUGAGGAAAUUUUUUAUCAUUGCUUAGUUUUGACUACUCUGUUUCUUUUGAUCAUUGUGGAAUAGCAUCAUUAUAAGAUGUACAAGAAACAUGUUGUGGUGCAUUAUUCCUUUCUCUACCACCCAAAAUCUACUUUCCACAAUCAUAAAUAUCGAAGUGUUUAAGCAUUAGGUAAGACAUCUCUUGAUAAUGAUGUGAGAGAUAUAGACAAGUAAUGUUACUAAAUAACAAGAAUAUGUAUAUAAAAAAAAAAUAACAGAAUAAGAAUACACAUAUUUAUGUGGAAAACCUUAGACUGGAAAAACCACGGGUAGAGGAGAAAAAAAUUCAUUAUAUUAAAAAAUUGAUACAAAAGGGGAGAGAUGCGAGCGACUACUUUAUAAGCAUAGACAACAUAGCCCUAAUAUUAUACAUAAUUGCAAAUAUAUAUAUAUAGUGUGUGUGUGUGUGUGUGUAUGCGUGUGUGUGUGUGUGUGUGUAGGAGAGUAAUAAACAUCAUAACCCUAAAUUCUAUUGGCCCGAUCCCUCCGCUACCACCACAGACUCUCCAAAAAUCUCACAAAUUUUUCUUCACCACAUAUGUCGUAUCACGAGCUUUUUGGGUAAGACUAAAUAGAAUUCGAGUUACCAAACUCUAACAAACAACAUACCAGUAUUCACAAGAAGUGAUGUUCUGCUUUUUCACUUUACAACAUUCAUUUAGUUUGAACUUUAGAUUCAAGCAACUCAAAAUCUCCGCCUUCAUUAGGAUUGUAGGAAGCUAGCUUCUUGGAAAGACAUGAAAAUGGGGCAUUUAGAAAUAUGGAAGAAUCCCAAAGGCCAGUUGCUACUUUUGAAUCAUUCCAAUCAAUAACAACUCCAAAGAUAUAUACAAAUUUGUUCUGGGAAAGAGAUGUUUCCUGGGCAUGUAACCAUCUCUUUAAUAGACUCAGGGUUGUGCACCCUCUUAGUGAUUUCUUAUAUAUUGUAGUGAACCUAUCACACCCCAAACCCACUCCAAGGGCAUUACGGUCAUUUCACACGUCAAGCCCAAAGGUUCAAAGUAGAAACGAUACAAACAGUCGUAUUGUAACUGAAAAUUUACCAAUUACCAAAUUCCUAUUCAGAGUAGUAGGACAAAAUUCUAAAAUUUCUAAGUAUCAACUUAAAAAAAAAAAAAAAAAAAAAACUAAUAUAUCAACCAAAGUUUUAUUGUCCAAAUAACUCCAAACUCAAAAUAAUUCAAACGAGAAUUAAAUUUUAACAUUUAAACAAUGUCCAAAAUAAAAAGAGUUUAAACAAAUAUCCUAUUAAAGCCAAAUUUCCCUCCUAACGAUCACUCAUCGCUCGAACUGAGGUUACAUGAAAGAUUAUCAACAAAGGGGGAUGAGCUCAAAGCCCAAUAAGAAAUAUUAAUACAGUUUCAUGGAUCAAACAUUUUCAAUCAUCCUUGCAAAUAGGAAAUAUAACAUAUACUUAUUUCAUAAAAAACUUUUGAGUUCAAAAUGCUAAUACAUUCAAACUUUUCAACAAAACUUUCUCAUAUUCAUUUCAAAACCAAAUUAAAUACAUUCAAAAUAUCUUUACUCAGGUUAUCAAAUGACAAAUAGUGCCCAAUUAGGUGGGACUUCACAAUUGAGCAACUAGUUUCAAAUUUUUUCCAUUUAAGGUGAACAAAACCAAAUGUCAACAAUUAUAACUUGUUGACUAGGGUCAUAUAAUCUAAAGUCAAACACUUUAUUUCAUUAAUUCAAACUUACAAAACAAAACAUCGUAUCUCUUCAAUUUUUCAUUUUUCAUAAACAAAUAAAAUGCUCAAAUAUACUUUUCAUACAAAACAUAUAUUUGAUCCACGCGUAAAGAUAAAAAUAAUAUUUUUACACAUUUCAAAAUACAAUAUAAAAAGAAAAUUAUUUUCUUUUACAAAAAUCUGCAUUAAUUUCCCUCACCUCAAAUAAGUACUCAAAAACCUUGAAGUAUUUAACCCCGAAGAAUUUCGUCUCAAAGAAUCUAUUUCAAACCUAACAAAAACAAAAAGACAACUAUUACUAUUAACUAUUUAUCUAAAUUUAUAGGUUUGGGAACCCUAAUAAUUUUCUAUAUUAUGUCACCUAUUAUUUUUAGUAGGAAUUUUCUUAACUAAGUCGACAUACUUUUACAAGCUCUUCUUAAGCUUUGAGUGGUUCAUAGUUUUUCCUGUAUUUAGUUUUACAUAAUUUUGGUGAAAAGUGCAUGAGGAAGAACCAUAUAAAACCACAACUCACUUUUGGAUGCUGAAUCUACAAAAUAUAAAUUGAAAAAAAUAACGUAUUAGGAUAGGAUAAAUAAUAAUUUAGAAAACAACUCCACAAAUGAAAUAUUAAGUAAAUGCAAAUUUAAUAUUUUAAAAGCUUAAUAAACUCAAUUAAAGAUAUAACCACAUGAUAUACAAACUUGGGGAAACUUAUGACUACCACUAAUUUCAGAUGUCUAAAAUUUAUAUAUAUCUUAGACAACAUUUUGAUAUGUAAACUAAUACGUAAAUUUUUUUAAUUUUAAAAAGAAAAUUUGGCAGCCAAGCUAGAAAUUUAGCAUAUUCAUAUAAUAUAAAGAAAAAUAAAUUAACUAGAUGCCUUAAUGCAUUGCUCUAUCACACUAUUUAAUAGGAUUUAGAUACUACAUAUUCAAUGUUGUCUAAAAAGUCAACAUAAAUAAUAUAAGAGGGAAAUAACAUUUUGCCUUACACAAUUAAUCCUACUAAAAGUUUGUUUUGUUAAGUCACUCAUCUAAUACCAUAUUUCAAGAUGAAUUAUUUGAGCUAAUUUUCUCAAGGAAAUAAUUACUUUGGUGAUAGCUACAUAUUAGCUUAUUUUUAUGAUAUGAUGUAUCAAUUAAUAAUUGUCUUCAUUCACCAAGAUAUUGACAACGAUUUCAAUAUAUUGGUCGAUAUUAUCCAUGUUUAUUUUAUUGAAUGUCAAAUCAAUACCUUAUAAACUAAACAACAAAACAAUUAAUAAGUGUAAAAAGAAUUGAUAUUGGGAAAUCCAAGCCUAGGAAGUUUAAGGGGAAGUGAAGUAAAAUAGCCUUGACAAAGAAAAAAAUUCAAAGAAAUUGGUAUAAUAUAGCCAUGUCCCUCUACUUAGAUUUUCAAGACCUAGAAAUAUGGUUAGCUCCUGUAAAAAUUUUCAUUUCCAUGCUCUUUUAUAACACUUUCCCUUCGAUGUGACUAUUUCAAUAUCCUUUAUUUUAAAAAAAUAUUUUUACUUAAUAAGUGAAAAGAAUGGGGUAUUGUCUGUUUUACUUUGCUUAGUUCAAUGUUCAUUCCCAAGAAGUGCUUAUUCUUUAUACUCAAUAUCCUCACUAUGAAUUAGUUCUACUCCAGAAAUUACUUAAUGGUUGUAAUAUUUCAGGCGCACUUCUACCUAUCACUUUUAGCAAAUGUGAUUUGCUAGAGUAAUGUACUUAAAAGCCUACUGCAUCACUCAAGAAGAAUACCCAAACAAACCAACAUAGUCAUAAGGCACCAUAACAAGACAUACAGUAAUUAGUAACUUCGAUGAAAGAGAGGUUUUGUCUUUAUUUUAGUAACUUUGGCAUAGUUGAUGUUUGAAAAUGCUGAGGGAAUGCAUCCCUUCUGGCAGUGAUUUCAAUUGGGGGCAUUCAGAAAUCUAGCCUUUCCCUAAUAUCCUUCAUUCUAUGAUUCAUCCAGACCAAAAAAGCACCCAGCAUGUCUGUCUUUCUCCACAAGUCCUCCGUUGCUAAGUCAUCAACAUACUAUAAAACAUCUUUAAGCUUCUGUACCCAAGUUGUUACUGUUGCUCCUCUUCAGCAUCAGCAAGUACAAAUUUGAAAGAGGACAGUGUGUCCUUAUGCUUCAUAAACUCCUCUUGAACCAUACAUCUCUACAAAAACAAAAUACCCUAACCUCAUCAAAAGAUUGUCAACAAUAUUACUGAAUGAAAUUUGUUCAGCCAUCUUUCAAAGGUCUAAGGGAAAAUGAAAGGAGUUUUAGCAACAGAAAAAAAUGAGAAAAGCCAAGUGAGGACUGAAGGGUCUGAAUAAACUUGGGUGUGUUUGCUCUGUUCAAUUCAAGUGGGAUUAAUUACUUGACCCUCAUGAUUGACCUACCUACCAUAUUUUUCAUUUUUUUUUCUUAUUAAAAUUUUCAGACAAAUAAAAUUACUUGAAAAUUACUGGAUAUUACUUAUUAUUUAAAAAUUAAAAUAAAAAUUGCUAACCUUCUUGUAAUAUAAUUAGUAAACAUAUUUUCGUUUUAUAAGUUAUAAUCAAACCGGUUUAUAUAUCCUAUUUUUAAAAAUAACAAAGACAGAAAAUUGUCUGAAAAUGUGAAUCUCAAUAAUGAACUACACCUAGAGGGGGGUGAAUAGGUGUUGUAGAACAAUUUAAAAAAUCCUUCCAACAAAAAUUACCUAACCUUAGACUAUCUUAAUGUCAAGAAUUUUUUCUUCUAAUAACUUUUCAACAAAGCAAAACAUCCACAAGCAAUAAUGUAUGCAUCAACACUCUCCCAACAAUUUAUAAGUGCAAAACACAUGCAAAUGCUUCAACACUUCUCAAAAAUAAAUCAAAAUAUAGAGUGAGAGAAAGAGACAAUGAACACCGGAUUUUUAACGUGGAAAUCCUCCGAAGAGAUCAAAAACCACGGGCCUAUCACCGAUUGAAAACUCCACUAUGAAGAAUAAAAACUGAGUACAAGGUUUUACCUAGCUCAAGCCAACCAAUCCUUCCCGGAAUACUUGACUAGUACCUUCAUUUUCAGCUUCCCCUUUUGGAGCAUACUUGGAGUCCGCACCAAGCUCAAUCUCGGCCUCUUCUUGAAUCCACACAAGAAGAAAAUGGGUUUUUGCACAACCCAAAUAGAAUGAGAGAUUUAGAUGUGAAUGAAAGAAUGAAUCAACCCAUUUAUUGCUCAAGAAAAUCCAUUGAAAACUAGUUUUGAAAACAUUAAGAGAAGUGGAUUUUCUUUGCAAUCAAAAACCCCAACUUAGGAAAGCAAAAAUGAGAAAUGAAGAACACUUGGAGUGUGGCUGCUCUAACCCAUUUUCUGCAGUCUCUCAUUUUAGAAAAUGAGAGAAGAUUGGUUUUUAAAGUGUAAAAAGAAACCCUUAAUCUAAUGGCUGAGAUUUGAUCAAAAAAACAUUAGUUGGAUAGAUCCACCCCUACACUUGGAUCGAUCCAGAAACAGAGGAAUGAAAGCCUUGCACCAAAAACCAUUUUUCCCAACUUUCUAACACAUUUAAAGAUUAAAAACCGGGUUGAUUCACACCCAAUCACUCCACACUCGACUACAUACCUCGGCCUCUUAGCAAAGUCUUAGUCUUCAAAGUCAAGUAGUCCGAAUAGGAAUAGGAAAGCCGAGUUAGGGGACACUUAGGAAUUUUGUCUGGAAUUGCCAACCUAGCUAAACACUCACAUUGUCCAUUGAGCACCUAAAUAUUUUAAACUCAUUAUAAUAAAAAAAAAUGUCCAAAAUAUUUAUUAAAAAAACUAAUUUAAUUUUAUAAUCAUUUUUCAACCCAUAAAUUAUCAAAAAAUAAACUAAAAUCUUUAUCAAGGUUUUUCUAAGUAGAAUUUAAAAAAUGAGAAAUUAAUAUUUUGAACUCCUUAAAAUCAUUAAAUUAAAAUUUUAAAAAAUAAAAUCUGUUUGAUUGUAUUAGAAUCGACAAUAGAAAUGCAAACAUGAGUUUAUAGCUCUUAACAUAUUAGAUUAUGAAACUAAAUGUAUUUUAGAUAGUGGAGUUAGUUCAUACAACAGAAAGGAUGAGGUAUCCAAGAUGUCAAAUAAGGUUGGGGUUGAAGGAAGUGAAGGGAAAUUACCAUAGAUGUGAAAUAAAAAAGGUUGUGAUCCCAUAAGACAUCACUUGACAAUAUCCAAGAAAAUGAAUGACAAAAUAUCAGAAUAUCAACAAGCAGAUUGCAUACUUUAUAUCAAGGUACUUAAUUGUUAUGAUGCAAGCAUUUGAAAUUUUUUUGGUGCAAGAGCUCAAACAUUUCCUAAUAGAUCAUACCGGUGGGUUGAUGCUAGAGAUGUUGUCAAUGCACACAUUCAAGCAUAUGAGAUCCCAAAGCCAGUGGAAGAUAAUGCUUAGUAGAGAGGGAUUUACACUAUUCCGAGACACUGAAGAUUUUGCACAAGCUCUACCCUAAUUUACCCCUGCCCAAAAAGUAAGUUUCUAUUAGUUAUUGGUAGUAUUCGUUUGUGACAUCAUUAGAGUACUUGCCAUUUAAUCUUCUUUUUUUAAUCGUUUGUAAUAUUGUUUGUUGUAAUAGUAGAAUGAUUGUUUCUAUCCAUUAGAUGUAAAUAUGGUGAGACAAACCAUAUUUAAAACCCUACAUGCCUCGUAUUAAUAAUUUAUUUUUUCUCUUUGUAUUAAUGCAUCAAUAAAUGGUAUUGAAGAAAUUACUUUUACAACAAAGGUUACAAGAUUAUAAGUAGGAUCACUUUGAUACAAUGAUGGGAUAAAAGAAAUAGAUGGGUUUAUUGAAUGCAAACCUCCAUACAUAAAUGAUAGAGACUUAACUUGUUCAAUAUAAGUUCCUUGAUGUAAAAUAUCAAUUUUUUUCCAAAGUCUUUAUGGCUAUUGGCCUUUCCAUGGAAUACCAAAGAAAAAAAAAAAAGAAAAACCCUCCUUACCUGAGCAUUCAUUUGAACCUUGUUUCGAAGAAAAAAGUUUUAUUAAUCCAAACCCUUUUGAUUUAUAUAUGACAUGGGACUAUGAAGAGUUUUAAAACAACUCAAAGAUAACAAUAAAAAUUGAGGUUAAAUAGUGAAAACUACAUUAGAUUCCAAUAAUAGUUUUAUGAUAUAAUGUUUCAUUGGCAGGUUUCAUAAAAAAAUGAAGUAUUCUAUGAAUACGACUUUCGAUGCCAAAUUUUGAAUUUUCUAAUUCCUUAGUUUAGUGGUGGGUCUCGUAAAAAUUGAAAGUUGUGGAAAAGUAGAAUAUGGACACAAUUUUUUACUUAAUGAGUAGAUUUUACAACACCUUCAAGUAAUUACCCUGAAAAUGAUAGGUCAUUGCAUUGAAAAUGUAUUAAAUUUAAUUGAGAGAUUAUUUAUAAAAAUAUCAUCAUUUUUUAAAAGAAUAAUAUGAUCUUACCAUCGUCUCCAGUUGGAAAGCAAUUUAUGGUGGUGCUAGAUUUUUCUUAAUAUAUUCUUGUUCCUUUUUCUUUUACUUUUUUUUUUCUUUUUUUGGUGCAUAUUGUAAGGUUUCAAGUUCCUUUAGAAAUAUGAACAAUGAUGAAUGAAGAGUUAGAAAUUUUGGAACAUUAAGUACAUAGUUAAAGCCAUGUUUAGAUAGUUGAAAUUCCUUUAAAAAAAAAUACAAAAAAGAAAAAAUGAAAGAAGUUCAAAUUUUAUUUGAUUAUCUUAAAAAUAUCAAAGAAAUUACAAAUAAUGAAAAUUGUUUAGAUUUUAUGUACUUUCUAAUAUUUACUCUUUAUAGACAAAAAAACAAAUAAAUUUUUUUUAGGUUCUGAAAAUCAUUAAACUUAAGCUUAAUAUUUAUUUUUCUUGAUUUUUAGUGUCUUUCUUAAUUUUCCUUUAUAAUGUUUCCCACUUAAUCCAAAACUUUCUAAGGUCUAAAUUUCACGGCGUUUCAUCUUCUUUUUAAUUAAGAAGUUUUGAAUUUUUCAAUUCAAAUUCCAAAAUAGGGUAAUAAAACUUUAAAAUUAAUAUAACAUCUUAGACGAAUUUGGUUGAUUUGGUAAUCAACUCGAACCAAACUUGAAUUAAGAAACAUUCAACCCUAACUAACCAGAUAUAGCCUCAAAUAUGAGGUGUUUAAUUCAAACUCAACUUAUUUCUAUAUAUUAAAGUUAGGCUUAAAUUGACUCAGGUAUACUCGUAGUUGAGUUGUUUAAGUUGUAUGAUCAAAGCUAAGUUUUGUAAGAUUGAAUUAGGGUGAACUCGUUCAUAAUGUUUUUUUUUUUUUUUAACUUCUUUUAUAUCAUAAUUUAAAUAGAAAAUAGGACAACAUUUAAACAUUAUUAAAAAAAAUGAGAAUGAAUUUAUGUAUCUUUCUAACAAAAAUGAAAUAAUAUAAUUAAAAUUUAAUAUUUUUCUUUAAAUACUAAAAAACAUAAAAUAGAUAUUAUUAUAUAAAAUAAAAUAAAUUACAAAUAUUAUAAAAAUAUAAAAUUAGGUUAUAUAUGUAUGUAUGUAUAAAAUAGUAGUGUGACUGAGUGUUUGCUACUUGUAAAAAGUAUUUUUGCUCUUUUUUUAAUUGAAAUUAAUAAAAAGAAAAAGAAAUAAAAUGUUUUCAAAAAUAUUAAAUGCAUAACUAAAAUUAUGCUAAUGAAGUUUUUUGUUCUUUGUAAUUUAAAGUUGUCUCAUUCAUAUUUUAAGGUAAACUAAUAGAACAUUAAACUCCCAAUAUUUUAUCCAUCUAGAAUUUAUCACCAUUUUAUUUUAUAUCAUAUCAUAAUUAUAUUAAUUAGUGCCUUCAAGAAAAAAAAAAUUAUUUAUAUGUUAGACAACAUGGAAAAGAUAUAUUUUUUUAAUGCUUAUUAAUAAUUUUUAUUUCAAAUUUUAAAACAUGAACAUAUAAAUUUUAACAAUUAUGAAAUAUUAGUCUAAAUAUCUUUUAAUAUUUGGUUAUGUUUGCAAAGUGUUUUUAAUAAGAAUUAUGAAAAAAAAUUUUGAGAGUAAUUUAUGAAAAUAUUUUUUUAAAAAAAAUAUGUUUUAAAAAUAACUUUAUCUUAUAUAUAGUUGUGGACCCCGCAUUUCGGCUUAUGAGUUUUCUACUCGAUGGCAAGCUCGAUUUUAAUUUGAAAAAUGAUUUUUAUUGAUUAAGAAAAUGACUUGGAGUCGCCACUUAUUUUUGUUUUAUUUUUAAAAGGAUAAACAAAAUAAGAAAGAAAACCCUAAGUGCGACUCCUUAUUUUGGAAAAGGUGAUCUACGAAAAACUGGAUCAGACUCGGGGGUCAGGUUGCUUAUCGAGAAGGUACGGUAAAGACCGUAGCACCCCUCUAAGUCCCUAAAGUCGGGUCUCUACUAAUAAAAUGAAGCUGACAUGGCAAUCAAUAGGAAAAUCAAUGGAUACUCAAAUCGAUUAGGUGCAUAUGGGAAUCGAAACAUGCAAUAAAGAAUGACCAGAAUAGGAGUGGAUGCGUACCUGGACCACGAACGAAUAAUGCGCUAUCAUAGAAAUAGAGUCAGUGCACAAUAUAGAGCCCGAAACACAUCACAUGCAUCACUAAGCAGGGAUUAAAAUUGGUAGAAGGAAAACUCGAUUUUUGAAAUUCAUUUGAGAAUCGAAAUCUUAGCGAUCAUUUGAAAAUUGGAGUUUUGGAGAUUAUUUGAAAAUUGAAUUCUUAGGAAUUGAAUGUAAGAAUGAGAAUUUUAGAAAUUAAAUUUGAAAGAAAAUUGGGAUUUUGAGGAAUUAUUUAAAAGUUCGGGAUUUUUUUAAGAGAAAUUGAGUUUACGAAAAUUGGGACUUUGGGAGUUGAAUUUUGAAAGGGAUCAGAGUUGUGAGUUAUUUGAGAAGUAGAAAUUAUGAAAGUUGAUUUAUAAAAAUUGGAAAUCUUGAAAAUCAUUUGAAGGCGGACCUUUUAGAAACGAAUGAAUAAAAUGAUAACAAUAAUAGUGAUAACAAUAAGUGAGUAACCGGAUAAAUACGAUAAUUGGAAUAUUGAGAAGUGAAAAUUAAGUUCGGAGAUAGGACAAUUGGAAUUUCGGAUGACUAAAUUUAGAAAUCGGAAUUUUGAAGAAUUAGACUUUAAUGGUUGAGAUCUUUAAGAGGAAUAAAUAGGUAAGUAUAGAAUAAUGUAUCUAAUUAACGGAAGCAAAAUUUUAAACGAAUAGAAAAUAAAUAGUGGAAUUUUUAAGAUUGAAAAUCAAAUUAGGACGUUGGAUUUUUGAAGAAUUGAACUUUAAAUAAAUAGAUAAGUGGGGGAUAAUAAUUCUAAUUGAUGAAAAUAAGAUAUAGAAGAAUAGUUGAAGAAUUAAUUAAAUUAAGACAUGAGAUUUUUGACGGAUUAGACUAGAUAAAUAUGGGAUAAUGGUUCUAUUUAACGAAAAUAAGAUUUAAACGAAUAUUUGAAGAAUUAAAUUAAGACAUGAGAUUUUUGAAGGAUUAGACUAGAUAAAUAUGGGAUAAUGAUUCUAUUUAAUGAAAAUAAGAUUUAAACGAAUAUUUGAAAGAUUGAAUUAAAACAGGGGAUUUUUGAAGGAUUAGACUUUAAAUAACUAGGUAAGUAUGAGAUUAUAAUUCCAACUGAUGAAAAUAAGAUCUAAACGAGUCAUUGAAAAAUUAAAUUAAGACAUUGGAUUUUUAAAGGAUUUAGACUUCCAAUAACUAGAUAUAUACGGGAUAAUGAUUCUAUUUGAUGAAAAUAAGAUUUAAACGAACUAUGGAAAAAUUAAAUCGAGACAUGAGAUUUUUGAAGGAUUUAGACUUUAAAUAACUAGAUUUAUAUGAGAUAAUGAUUCUAUUUGAUGAAAGUAAAAUUUAAAUGAACUAUUGAAAAAUUAAAUUGAGACAUGGGAUUUUUGAAGGACUUAGACUUUAAAUAACUAGGUAAGUAUGAGAUUAUAAUUCCAAUUGAUGAAAAUAAGAUCUAAGCGAGUCAUUGAAAAAUUAAAUUAAGACAUUGGAUUUUUUGAAGGAUUUAGACUUUAAAUAACUAUAUAUAUAUGGGAUAAUGAUUCUAUAAGAUUUAAACGAACUAUUGAAAAAUUAAACUAAGACAGGGGAUUUUUGAAGGACUUAGACUUUAAAUAACUAGGUAAGUAUGGGAUAAUGAUUCUAUUUGAUGAAAAUAAGAUUUAAAUGAACUAUUGAAAAAUUAAAUUAAGACAUGAGAUUUUUGAAGGACUUAGACUUUAAAUAACUAGGUAAGUAUGGGAUUAUAAUUCCAAAUGAUGAAAAUAAGAUCUAAGCGAGUCAUUGAAAAAUUAAAUUAAGACAUUGGAUUUUUGAAGGAUUUGGCUUUGAAUAAAUUAAUAAGUAUGGGAUUAUAACACUAAUUAACGAGAAUAAUAUUUAGGCGAAUAAAGAUGAAUAGUAGAAUUUUUGGGAUUGGAAAUUUAAUUCAGAAGUUGGAUUUUUGAAGAACUGGACCUUAUAUAAAUAAAUAGAUAUGGAAUAAGGAUUCUAAUUAACAAAAAUAAAAUCUAGACGGAUAAUGGAAUUUCUAGGAUUGAAAAAUUAAAUUAGGACAUGAGAUUUUUGAAAGAUUAGAAUUUAACUUUAAUAAAUGAGAUUUUUAAAAGAUGAUAAAUAGAUACAUGCGAAAUAAUAAUAAUAAUAAUAAUAAUUGUCAAACAUGAUAUUUAAACGAAUGAAAUUGAAUAGUGUAAAUUUCGAGAUUGAAAAUUGAAUUUGGGAUGUUGGAUUUUUGAAGAAUUAGAAUUAGUUUUUAACGAAUGAGAUUUUAAAAGAUGAUAAACAAAUACAUACGAAAUAAUAAUAAUAAUUAACAAUCAUAAUGUUUAAGCUAAUGAAAUUGAAUUGUAUAAAUUUCGAGAUAAAAACAUAAUUAACAAUAAUAAUUUUUCUUUAAGUUGUCUUUAAGUUUGAGUUAACUAAAUUGGUAAAAAUGAAAUAAGAAAAAAAUAAAAAUGAAUGAAUGACUUAAUAAAUUACUAAAUUAGAGGUUUUAAAAAAAAAAAACUUGUUUAGAAAUGAAAUAGCCAAAUGGGCUAUCUUGAAAUGGGUAUGGCCCAUGAGAGGGAUUAGUUUGAGGAGCAAUGAGGCUCCCCAUCAAUAUGCUUGGGCUGGGCUCCAAACUCAAGCCCAUAUUUGAUACUAUGGGCAAGCCCAAUGGGCUAACUUGAUCACAAACUUGGGCUUGGUGCUCCAACACAAGCCCAAAGCACCCACCUUUUCAACACAGCCCAUUCAUUUAAGAGAAUAUUGCCCUCCAUCAACACGCCUAGGCUGGGCUUCUUCUCAAGUCUAAUGUCCAUCAUGGACAAGCCCAAGCCCAUCACCAACACAAACUCCAUCACAGCCCAAGGCAUCCCUCUCCAUCUGGGCAACUCCUUCAGGCGAGGCCUCCACCAGCAGCGACGUAAAAGAGAGGGGAAGGGGUGGUGGCUUCGAGGGCGGCGCUGAGACGGUGGAGAUAUAUGGCUUUCGAAGCCACGACACCAGCAAGUGGAUGUCUUCGCCGAUGGCGCCGUCGACCACGCCGCGGAAGCAGUCGAAGAGGACGGCGCGCGGGCCGCCGUCGACGGCCUAGAGAGAGGCGCUCCGAACUGAAGCAGCAGCGCCGAACUCCAAAGGCGGCUCUGGCGAGGUUCGUGGGGAACGAAAGGCUUGCUUGGCUGCUGCCCGUUCCCCAGCCACUGAAGAGGGCUCGCGCGCAUAGAGGUCUGAGUGAUGGUGGGUACGCGGAUAUAGAGAGAAAAGGUGGUGAGGGGUGGGAUUUGCAUGAAGAUGGGUAUGGAAAGAUGGGUGUUUACGUGGAUGUUGCAGGGUUGGGAUGGAGUGACGAAAACUUUGUGUGGCCAUGCACGGCCAUGCAAGCAUGGGGGAAAUGAGCUUGACGAGUAUUGGAGUAUGGGUAUGAAGAUGGGUGUGGGGAAGUGAAGGCGGCCAUGCAUGCAUGCUUCCUAUGCGUGAGUGAGAAAUGAAACUAGGCGGGUGGGGAGUGGAUGAUGGAGGGUGGCGAGUGGUGGAAUGACCAUGGAGAUGAUAUGGUGCAUGAUGGAUGGGUUUGGUGAGAGAAACGGGUAUUUGAAAGGUGGGUAGGAUGGGAGAUAAAUUGAUGGGAAACGGGUACUGAGGGAGCUAGUAAGAGAAUGGUGGUGAGGGGUGGCGGAGAGUGGAGGAAAUGAAGGUGGCAAAGUAUUGAUGAUGGGUAUGGUGGAGGGACUGCAAAUACCUCAUAUGAAAUCUCAAAACAGAGCCAAGAAGACAUAGAAAUCAAGCACAAAAUAGGUGUGAUCAAACUCAGAUGUUAAAAGCAAUACGUAAGGAUCUCCUAUACUCACAUUCGGACACCAGAAUAGGAUCUCACAAUACCCAAAAAAAAAACGACAGAAUGGCGUGAACACGAAAGCAUCAACAGCAUAUGGAAAUGAUACCUGUGACAACCUCCUUCAAGAUGUCUCACCGGCGUGUUUCCUCCUAUCUCUGACUAGCUCUCUCUCGUUUUCCCCUCCGAGCUCCUCCCAAGAAAAAUCACCAGUCUCUCCUUUUCCCCUUUUCUUUCCUCCUUCUCCCCCCUGUUUUCUUAUUUCUUCCUUGGCAAGCCAUUACUUGCCCUGCUGUUCACCCAUCAGCAAGCAUGGCCGGCCAUCACCCCCUUGCAGCCGUACGUCUCAUGCAUCCGGGAUCCAUGCCUCCCGUGGGGUCCCCUACCCCUUCUAAAAAUAUCAUGAAAAGUCAAGAAAUAACAACUCCCCGGGCCCUCACCACCAAAAGGGGUACUUCUCUAUUUAAAAUAACUCUAUGAAAACAAAUGGAAAUAAUUAAAAGAUUUAUUUUAAAACACUUUAUUUUUUUAUUUUUAUGAAUAGAAAACUAUUCUUUUUUUGUCAAAUAUGUCUUCUUGUUUUUGUUUUUCUAAAAAACAAAAAACUGCUUUAAAAAAUAAUUAGCAACCAUGCUUGAACCCAAAGCCCGAAGCUCCUGUGGGGCUGGUUUUGGGCCUUUUAGGUUUGGGAAAAACAGUCGGGCCUGGCUGAGCACAAAUUCUUCUCUUUUAAGUCCAAAAAGCCCGUCUGAAGCCCAAACUUUUGGGUUGGGCCGGGAAGCUCCUGGCUUAACACAAAUUCUUCUCUUUUAAGUCCAAAAAUCCAGUCUGAAGCCCAAAAUUUCGGGUUGGUCCGGGCGGGCGGGGGGCGGAUAUGAAAUAUAAGAAAAUAGAAUAUAAUUAUUAUUACGAUAGUGGAAUCUGAGAAAAGGUGGUGAGUGUACUACAAUUUUGAUCUUUUGCAGCAGAGAGUGAGAAAUGAGCGGGCAAGGCAAGGUGGUGUGCGUGACCGGAGCUUCUGGGUACAUAGCCUCAUGGCUGGUGAAGCUCCUGCUCCAAUGCGGCUACACCGUCAAAGCCACAGUUCGAGACCCAAGGCAGAUCUCUUCCCAAUUACAAAACUUCUCAUUCCCGACCCCACUUGCUAUUGUCCCCAAUUUUCUUCUUUCUUUAUUGUUUCAGUACUUUUCAAGCAUAAUGUUAGUUUUAUGCAUGUGGGUGGGCCGUUAUUUAGCAGUUUGAAACUUAGAUUGAGUGGUAUUUUGAUGGGUCUUUGUCCUUUUUCCUUUUUCAGAAGUUUAAUCUAUGAUUGAAAGUCAAUAUUCAGUACUCGGGUCUUUGUGUUGUCCUAAUUUUCUUGGAAUUAUACUCUCUACAUGGUUCUACAGGGCAAAUUGAUCGAGUUUAUGCUAUUAAAAAUGAUUUCAGAUACUUUCAGAAUCAAUCCAUCUCAGAUUCUGCAUGUGUUCCUUCUUAAUUACUACUAUUCUUGUAAAAAAAUUUGCAUUUAAUUUACAAGACACUGGGGGGGUCUAAAAAAGAAAAGCAAAGGGAAAGAAAGAUUUUCCUUCAGCCAUACCAAAUUGUUUUGGAACCAAAAACUCUAAAUAUGGGCCUGUGUUCUUUUUGGAAACCUAUUCUUGAAAAUAAUUUCAGAGAAACGAAGAAAAUCUACAAAUUUUUGUACAAUUAUUUGGCUUUAUUGCAAGCUUUUGUUGUUAUACAAACAAGACAAGAGGACAGUUUAGGUCUUCAUUUUGUUUCUUUGCUGUUCUUCGGUUUCCUCUUCAAUGCCUUUAGCUCUAUCUAUUGUUAGUAUUUCAACAAAUUGUACAUCACAACUGAAGUUUCUUGCACUUUGAAAAUCCAAUCAUCUUGCAUAAAUGAUCCAAAAGCUUGCAAUUGCAGUUGAGAAAAUGACUACUCUACAUGCCCCAUCCAUUUUACUUCAAUCCCCAUUCUUUUAAGAAGAGCAUAGUUGAACUUCUUAAUAUUCUAGUCAUGCGACUCAUGCUUCCACUGUAUACUCCUUAUGUACUAGGGUUUCCCCAUUUGGGGUUGUUUUUUUCUAUCACAUAAUACAUGUUCUUACCAAAAUAAAGUUUUUGUAAGCUUUCAUUCUUCUUAUUUCCAUUUAACAUGCAAGUUGUGCUUAUAUAUGCCACAGAUGAUCCAAAGAAGACAGAACACUUGCUUGCACUUGAAGGUGCUAAAGAAAGGCUUCAUUUGUUUAAAGCAAACUUACUUGAAGAAGGAUCCUUUGAUUCUGUGGUUGAUGGAUGUGAUGGAGUAUUUCAUACAGCAUCCCCAGUUGUGAUGAUAGUUGACGAUCCCCAGGUUUAUCCUAUAUUGGUUCCAUUCGGAUACUGUAAAAUUUAGCAUUGUCUAUAUUCUUUUUCAAUCAGUUACUGAUCUUGAAAUUAGUAACUAAUCAUGAAUUGUUAAUUUGCAUGAUUCUUCUUUCUGUAUGUGGUUUCUUCAACUGAUCCAAUGGUAGUGAUUGCUGAUUUCACUAAACCAAUACAAUGGUGGAAAAGAGAGACUGAUAUUGGAUUUUUUAUAUUCUGCUUAUGUGCAAAAAUAUUGAAUAGCUUUUUUUUUUUUUUUUUUCUUUCUUUCUUUCUUUCAUUCUCCCCCCUAAUCCUUCCUUUUCUCCACUUGUUAUGUUUGUUCAAAAGAAGAUAAAGGCCCUUUGUCUUGCAUCAAUUAGAACCAAAAACCCUGUGAAUAUUUAUUUAGGAAUGUAUAACUUCCUUGACAGCAGCAUGGGAAUGCUCACACCGUAACAAGGCUAUUCCAUGGAAAUUUAUGGUGGCUGAUCCAAACACUCCUUGUGCUUUUUUUGUUUUGAUAGGCAAAAGGGCAGAAGACGUGUUAAAGAGCCAAAAAAAAGGCUACACCAAGUACAUAGGAAAUACGCAUGUGCGCACCAAAGAAAAAACACAAAACCCUCUUCUUAAUGGCAACCUAACCAAUCGAUAAAAUCAAUCAUAUACAAGGACUCUUGCCCUAGACCCCCUUUGGUCCAUUCUAAAAAGUUACAAAGAAAAGAGAAUUUUAGCUCUUGAUAUGAAAGCUCAAUAUUAUCAAAAGCCUUUCUAUUCCUCUCUUUUCAAAUAGUCCAAAACAAACAAAGAAGUGCAACAUUCCACACCUUUUUUUUCCUGUCCCCAACAGAUCAGCUAUGCCAACUAAGAAGCGUUGCUUGGACUGAGGUAUGCAACACCCAAACCACUACAAACAAGGAAAAAACUAAUUGCCAUAACAAACUAGCCUUAGAACAAUGAAGAAGGAUGUGAUUGAAAGAUUCCUUCUCGUCUUUACAUAAAAAGUGUUUGUUUACCAAAGUCCAACCUCUCCUCUUCAAAUUGUCCAUAGUUAGAAUCCCCUUCCAAGUUGCUUCCCAAAACAAAAAAAAAACUCACUUUUAUUGGAGCCUAAGAAUUCCAAAUAAGCCUUGUCGGGAAAGAAUCUGAACCCCUUUGAACCAUCCCAUCUUAGAAAGAUUUAACUAAAAAUUGGUGGGCCUCCCUUUGUAGCCAUCCACACCACCUUGUCAUCCAUCUCCCUACUCAUUGAUUUGCCAUGUAAACGCAAAAGGAGUGCUUCAGCAUAACCUAACUCUUAAUCUUGGAAAUUCCUUACAAAACAAGGGUUCCAACACCCCUCAAAAUUAGUAUGCUUCCAAACAUCACAUACCCAAGCCUCCUUUGAAGUGGCUAUAGCAAACAAAGAGGGGAAAGAGGUACUCAAAGGGGUGCCCCCACACCAAAUGUCAUUCCAAAACCUUAUCCUUCUUCCAUUGCCCAAAUCAUAGGAAAUCUUGCGUUUGAAAGAAUCCCAUCAUUUCCUUAUAGCCUUCCACAAUUCUAUGCCAUAACCCUUCCUUAUCUCCAAAGAGCACCAACCUGCUUCUUCUACCCCAUACUUACCAAUGAUUUCUUUCUUCCACAAGGGCUCCCCUUUUGACAUGAACCUUCAACUCCAUUUGCCUAAGAGAGCCUUGUUCAAAAUAGAAAGAUUUUGAAUGCCUAACCCUCCCUCAUUUCGCUUUUGGCUUACAAACUUGUGCCAACUCACUAAGUGAGGCUUAUUUUCAAGAAAACCCCCCUCCCCAAAGAAAGUCCUUUUGAAUUUUUCCAAUUUACAACAGACCAUUCUUGAAAUAACAAAAAUGGACAUGAAAUAAAUGGGUAGGCUAGACAAGGUACUUUCGAUGAGAGUUAAACAACCCCCCCUUGGACAAGCUUUGUUUCUUCCACCUUGUGAGCUUUCUUUCCAUCCGCUCUUCCGCCAAAGUCCCUCAUUGUUGUUGAUUUAAAGGUAGCACCCAAAGGAAGCCCAAGAUACUUGGAAGGUAACAACCCCACUUUACACCCCAAAAUAUCCACCAACUCCUCCAUUAUUGGAACCCUUCAACUAAGAUUAGCUCACUUUUUUCAAGGUUGAUCUUAAGCCCAGAAAUUGCUUCAAACCACAUCAAGACCCAAUGAAGAUGCAAUAGUUGGUCCUUAGAAGCCUCGUAAAAAAUCAAUGUGUCAUCUGCAAACAAAAGAUGAGACACCUCCACUCCCUUGCCACUUCUACUUCCCACCUUAAAUCCCCCCCCACCCAAACAAACAAAAAAUCCUUGUUCUUAUCUUCAAGAGUAGAGAGUUAUAGCAUUUUAACUUACAACCACUGCCUCAAGGUGACUAAAGAUGCAUUCCACAAAAUGUUAGACAAGUUGCUUAUCAUUUUCUCCUGACCCCGAAUGCUAUAGGUAUAAGAAAUAGGUAAAUGUGCUUACUAAUAGUGGAUGCAUUCCACAAAAUGCUAGAGAAGUGGUUGUUUCCUUCUCUCUAUCUCUUUCCUUACCUCCUUACUCACCUCCCUCACCUUCCCAAAUUCUCUUUUCCUUUAUUUUCUCAAACAGCUCAGUUACUCCCCAUGAUUAUUAUUAUUAUUUUUUUAAAUGGGAAUGCUUCACAAGAUUCAUAUAUUACCUCCUUGCUAAUUUUAGUUAGUUAGGCACUGCCCCUUAAAAACUCAAAUAAUUCUACAUGAUUAUACCUUUGAUGUAGUUAUGAAUACAAGGAUCAUCCAUAACUCCUCCAAUUGCAUGACAUAUUUGUUGUGUUUCUGAUUCUAAACUAGCACUGUCAUAACAUGAUCAGCAAAAAAAUAAAAAUAAAAAUAAAAGUUACUUCCAGAAUUUGAUGGAUGAACCUUAUGGCUAUGUUUGGUUCCUACAAAAUUUGAGGCAAAAUGCUAGGGAAAGAAAAUAGAAAGGAAAAGUAGAAAGAAAGAAAAAUUGAAGGAAAAUUAAAAAUAGAUUUAAAGUCAAUAAAUUAUUUUUAUAUGUUACUUCAAACUUAUUUCACUUAUUUUAACUAUUGAAUAUAAAGAUUAAAUAAUUUGAAAAUUUAUAAGUUUCUAAUUAGUUUUAAUUAUAUUUGACUUUUUUUGGUAUUUUCUAUAGAACAAUCAAACAUGAGAAAAUCAUUUUCCUUAGUGUUUUUUUUUUAGUACUUUUCAAGAAUCAAACAUAAUCUAUUGAGUUUGUCUAUGAUGAUUUUGUUUAGCCUCAUUCACCAACCAAUUGGUUUGUGGUGUACUGCUAUACUUCUUUUCCAAUUUUAUUUUAUUUUUUUGGUUCAUUUUAUGUUUAAAGAGGUUUUAUUUGAUUUUAUUUUAUUUUUUUAUCAUAAUUCAUGUGUAACCACAAUUCCUUUGUCACCAUCACCAUGUGACUCCAUAUAGUGGUUGGGAGAGUUAGAUCCUGGAACAGUUAUGGAAUAACUCCAUCAAUGUUGUGCAUCUUUCUUUGAAAUGUAGGAAAGUGGCUUUUUUAUUUUUUUAUUUUUUGAAUAUCUCCUUCUCAUAAAUAGGUAUGGUACGCCCAACAACAUUUUAUUUUAUCAAAAUUCUUUGAUAACAUAGCUUAUCAAUAUGAUGAAAGGAUCAUAAUGUGUCUCAUCAACCUGAUUUCAUAUUGCACAAUGGAGCCUAGAUUUUGAAGUUCUCUCAGUUACGAAGGGAAAUCUUGUGUUGAUGUAAUGGCAGAUAUUGAUUUCUGUAGUUGGGAUUCUUCAAGGGUUUGGGAGGUGGGAGGAGUUCUAGAGGGAGAGCACUGUGCAGAGAGACCAACUUAGCUGGCUAAUGGAUUAUUCGGCUUCAGAGAAAUGAUUGGAUACUUGAGAACAUGAGAAAAUCUUUCACUGACUUGUGUGCUAAUGUAUAUUAUCUCACAACUCUUUGAAUACCUGUCACUGUAGAGUUCUUUAGGUUCCCUUUAAUGCAUAUACAUUCAUUUUUGGAUCGGAGAUCAAUAUGCCUUUCCCGUCGGAGAGUGCUUUUGUGCUGGAGGAGGCACUGCCUGUGCUAUUUCUAGACUCCUGACUGUGGCCAGUCCACUCUUCACUUUUUUCAGUUUCUGGACACAACAUGUUAUACAAUUAACAUAACAGCCUCUAUGUGAUCGAAUUCAGCUCCACCUCAAUCAUUGGAAUUAGCAGCAUGCCAACAAUCACAGUGUGGGCACCAGUUUUUAGUUAUUCACCUGCCUUGCUUUUCUGGUGAAGUCAGGCAGCAUCUUUUCAUUUCAGAAUGCAGCAUGCUGUUGUUUGUGACUUUUUGGCCAUCAGAGCAAUUGUGGAUGGCCCUUCAAUCGACAAAACUUUAUAGAUGUGUGUUUGUGCCAAAUCAAGGCUCAAGUUAUGAAUGAAAAUAUGAAAAUGAAAAGAGAAACAAAGCAGAAAUUCAUUUUACUAUGUCUCUGUUCUUUCCAUGAGGGAUUAGGCUUAUUCCUCUUUGGAAGACUCAGAAUCUCCUUUCGGUUUUUCAAUGGCUCCUUUCUCCUAUGACCUGUUCAAGAAUGCUGCUUUAUUGUGGACCUUCUAUGCCUUUAUUGAAAAAGAAAAAGUGAUAAGAUAUUUCAACCAGUUGAAAAUAGAGGACCCUGAGGCCUGAGAUAGACUGAUGCUAGAUAGAAAAUACAUAUGUAUGGAUAUUCAAACUUAUCUAGAAGAAAUAGAAGCAAAUGAUACAUGAUAAGUUAGUGUCAAAAGGUCAACUAAAGUCUUCGACUAGAUAGUCUACUUAGAUGUCAAAAAUGUAGUGGGCUCUUUAGCCUCAUGGUAGCCUAAAGCUCAAGUUUGGUUGAUGUUACCUAGCAAACUCGAGACAGAUGGAAAUUUCCAGCCUUUUACAGGUCCAUAGAUGUGUGAUUAUUAGGGCUUUUUAAUGUCAUUUGUGAUGGGGUUUGCUAUUGAUGUGAUGCAGAGGUCCUGAAACUAUUAGAAGGGAUGUAAAUCUGGUGAAAGAGUUGGAUGUUUAUGAUCUUAUGGGGAAGGAGAAUUGAGCAAUGGUUCUCUCUUGCAUGUCACUGGGUCAAAAAGGGUCAGGGAGAUAAAACCACCACUUGUGGAGGAUUGUGGAUCUUUUUAGAGACAUUGGCUGAUCAUUUCUUGAAAGUCUAGAUCGAGAAAUCAAGAAGAUGAGAGGCUGAUUAAGAGAGAAGUCAUGUCCUAUGCCAACUUUGUUUGAGUGAGCCAUAUCAUAUACUUCUACCUGGGGUUAAUCUUUAAGGCUGGAGGGUUCCUUGUCUCUUCAUUUUUUUCCCUUUAUUUUUUUUCCCCUUAUUGAAUCAUGUUCUUGUACAUCUACUUGUUUGAAGGAUUUCUCAUCCUUCCUUGUAAAUAACUGUUUGCAUAAUAUUAUCACACAAAAACAUAGAUCAUAGACAAGCUGAGAAUUUCUUUAGGAUCCAUAAUGUGAUCUUAUGUUUGCUUCUAUACAUAAUUAUUAGCUUUUAAUUAGCUUAUCUUCAUUGGACUACUUAUGUGGAGAUUUGUUUUAUCUGUUUCUCCGUGUUUCAGGCACAACUAAUUGACCCAGCACUAGAAGGAACAAUGAGCGUUCUAGGAUCUUGUGCAAAAGUUCCAUCUGUCAAAAGAGUAGUUGUAACAUCAUCUAUGGCUUCAGUUGCAUUCAAUGGGAAACCUCUAGCUCCUGAUGUGCUAGUUGAUGAGAGUUGGUUUUCAGAUCCAGUUUUCUGUGAGAAAUCAAAGGUUGCUUAAAUGAGAUGAUUUCCCAUCACAUGCUAUCUCUUUUGCAUGAUCUUGUUUGUGGCUUUACAAAAUGUUUUCUUUCCAUGGCUCUUCACUUCUUUUACCCUGCAGAAGUAGCUGCCAAUUUGUCAUGCCCUCUUGUUUUUACACUUCUGCUAGCCAGCUUAGGGUUAAAUAACACGAUGGGAAUGGGAGGAUUAUCCCUUUAUUUUGCUAAGCCUGCCAUUAGAUUAAAUAAUCCUUCCAUGUAUGUCUAAUAUUUCACUAAUAUGGUGUUGGUAGCUGUCUGAUCCAUUAAGUCUCAUUCCUCAAACAAGAAAUUAAAUGAGAACUCUAAUUUGGAUAUUAUAUGAUUGAAAUGAAUGUUAAUCUCUGAUUGUCUUACUGUCCAUUAAGCAUGAUGGGCUCAGAAACAUGGGUUGACAAAACUCACAUUAGUUUUAAUGUGAGUGUGUAUGCCUGCACAGCCUCCUAUAGAUUUUUCUUGGGUUCAUAAGUUCAUUGCUUGUUCUCUAUGUUCCAUUAUCUACUAGAAAUGCUUCUCACUAUAUAUUUUCAANNNNNNNNNNNNNNNNNNNNNNNNNNNNNNNNNNNNNNNNNNNNNNNNNNNNNNNNNNNNNNNNNNNNNNNNNNNNNNNNNNNNNNNNNNNNNNNNNNNNGGGGUUUUGAUUGGGCCUCUCUUACAGCCUACUCUUAAUCUAAGUGUGGAGGAAGUUCUGAAGCUACUAAAAGGUACUCUUCAACAAUUGAUGAGAAUCUCUUUUUUAUGUUUAUCUUUCUGCUCCAGUAGCAAUACAUGCUUCACUUCAAUAUUGAGUCAACUCUAUCCAACAGCCCUGCAAAUGGAAACUCAGAAGUUUAAAUCGAAACUUAUCAAUAAACCGUCACAAGACUUCCACAGUUCCACAUAAAAGGACUACAUAUGCAUUUUGAUAUAUGCUGACUAAUCUCCUAACAUUAAAAAAUUGUUCUCUCCUCUGGUCAUUAUAGUUAUAUCACCAAGAUACUCAUUUGGGAGAUUUGCAUAUGAGAUUAGAUGAAGAUAUAUUUCGUUUUGGCCUCCUAAGCCAGACUGGUUUGGAAGGACCCCUGGACUGUGAAAGGACUGAAAGCAUGGGUAUGCAAUUACUAUCUUGAACUUGACGUAUAUUUGCAUGCAAGUUCAAUCCAAGGGCAAGAACUUCUUAAAUAAUCCAUUAAUCCUUUUGAUCCAACCCAUCUAAAGUGGGGGUUCCCCGCAUCCAACUCCAUUGCAAAUGAGUUGUUCAUGUGCAACUCACUUGAUCAGUAUUUUUAAAAACUUCUACCAACUUUUUUGGACUAUUUUGCAGAUCUUAACAUUCUUUAAACAUUUAGAAUCAUUUCUAGUGGCUUUAUAGGGAAAUAUCAUGUUACUUUAUUGACAACUCUUACAAGAAUCAAUACUUCCAUAACUGUAUAGCCAAUAUGGUUUGUUUACUUACUAACCAACCUCUUCUGCCUCCAACUGACCUCCCCUGUAUCUUGCUUCAAUUAUGAGGGUGUUGCCAUUAGGUUGAGCAUUGGACAUAUGAUAAACCUGUGCCUUGAUGGCUGUACUCUGAUUCAUGGAUCCAGACCAUUGUCAUUGGGAUUAGACUUGUUGGUAGUUGCUUUAGUUCAAUGCUUGCAAUAACCAAAGUAAUUUGUCAUGCUGCUUUAGAACCAUUGGAUCUUUCAUAUGAAAUAAGAAAGGUAUUUUGUACAAAAUAAUGUUUUCAUGUGUAAUUUCCAACAUUACAUAAAGCGAUAAAUAGAAGUGUAUUUGCUAAGUGUGAUUGCAUCAUUAUCUAAGCAUUUCCGUUUGAGACAAACAGUCUAAGACGAAAAUGUGUGCUUCAAAAAUUUCAAAACAUUAAAAAUCAGUAAUGCAGAUAAGGGCAUUUAUAUGUACACAUAUUGAUCAGAAAAUAAACUCCAUCCUAUAGCAACCUAAAAACUCAAAAGAAAGAAGUAUAAUUUCCGAUAUGCAAGAUUUUGAUCAAUUAAAGUCCAAAGCAUUUUAUGUUCAUACAAAUGAGAAGACAGAAUGGCAGCUGACUUUGAGGAUUGAAAGAAAAAUGAAUUGAUGCUACUUCUCAAUGCUAAUGCCAUUAAUUUGUUGCUGCUUUUUGUUGCCAUGUCGAGCCUGUCCAUCAGAUAAGGUUUGAAUCGCUUCUAUUAUUCUUGUUUAAGACAAUCCCUUCUUUUUUUCCUUUUUUUUUUCUUUACAUAGUCAAUCAUCUUGUUUCAUGUUUGCCUUAUAGUUGGUCUGCUGAUGGUAGGCUUCUUUUGAGUGGAAGCAAGGACUCUAUACUGAAGGUAAAUUGUGGGAACUAUGUCUUUUUGUGGUAUAGAUGGGGUUAUCAUAUAGUUGAAUGAUUCUAUUGCUUCCUCAUAGCUUUUCAAGGCACUAAAAAAGAAAAAAACAAAGGUAGAACUAGGAAUAAUAUUUCGUCCUGAUUUCAGGCAUACUAUUUCCUUAUGAAGUCUUAUUUUGGUAAAUUACAGUUAGAUAUAAUCACAUGGCAACAUUUUUUCUUCCAAGUUUAAAUAGUAAUUCAGGAGAGUGUAUUAUGAAAAUAUACUAAAAUAAAAAAAUCCUAUGAAUGCAUUCUACUUUGGAUAUUUCUUAUGAAUCUUCCCCUGCACUCCUGACCACCACAGACACUCCCAUCACACCAAGCCUUGUAGUUGUUCUAAAUUGUUGCAAAUAUGUUAGAAACCAAUUACUAAUAUUAAGGACGGUCAUGUCUACUAAUUUUGGGCUAGAAUUUUUAGAGCAGGUGAGAAAUUAUGGUUGCAGUAGGGAAUGUGAGUGCUUCUAUUUUGCCAAAGUGGCUUUCCUUAUUCAUGUUAACAUCAACAACAUAGCAAUGAACUCGAUUUAAUAUUGUUUAUCAUAUAGGCUUGAGAUAUCCGGACACAAAAGUUAAAACAAGAUCUUCCAAGCUAUGAAGAUGAGGUAUUUUCCUCCUCUUAAGUACUAGUUAAUAUUCUUCUUUUGACAUUGUACUUGGUUUAAUUAAUGUUUUCCUUCUUUUCGUAUUCUGGAAAGGUUUUUGCUGUUGAUUGGAGUCCAGAUGGUGAGAAGGUAGCCUAUGGUGGUAGGGACAGAGUACUUAAUUUAUGGAUGGGUUGAUGGCUAAAGGAGGAAGAGAUGUAUGAAAUGAAGAUUGACAUGAUUCUUCCACAACAUGAUGGACUUGGCAAACACUCAAUUUUUGCCUAUAGUUGAUAGUCUACCACAUGUAACUUAAAGGUUGUGCACUAAGUUCUGAUGUUAUGAAGGAUCGAGGGUGGUUUGUGCACUAAGCUUUUCUAAAAUAUUUUUCUUUAUUGAGCUGUAAUGAUUGUAUUAUUUGGAUUUAAUUGUAUUCAUUAGGUUUGCAGAUCACGAUAUGAUUAUUUUCCUCUUUGAUCAUGUAAAGUUGGGAAACAGUUAUGGGUUACUGUAAUAGCAUGGUAUAUUGAUGCACACAGUUUGUGGCAUGACAGUUUGAUGAAAUUGCAGAAGUGUAGCACUCAUGGGCAUAUCAUGUGAACCUUAUUCAAUGUGGCAUUGACAAUUAGUUUAAAUUUACAUGGGUGUAAUGUCGCACCAGUAUCCUCUGAUGAUAUGCCCAUGUUAUAUUGUGGCAGGGUUCUUCUUCAGUUGCCAAAUACCACUGGAGCUUAGGUGAGGUCUUGGUGAUGUAGGAAAGCCAUGGAUUCUGGAAUCUUUACAUGAAAAUAUACAUGAGAUAUAUUGGAAGAAAGGGCAGGCCAUCUAAGAAGAAACACAUCUUAAAGUAUACCAUCAAUCAUGAGUUGUUUGAGAGUCAGGAGUCUUUGAAGGCCUCACUCAGAUAAGGGACGUCUUUGACAUUUCUCACUCUUCAAUCUCAGGAAGGUACAUCAUCAACUAGAACCUUAGGAAUGUGAGUCAUCAUGGGACAACUUGUUUAUGUUCUGUAUUCUUUUCUUACCAGAGGGGAUUGAAAGAUAUGUAGUUGCAAGGACAAAAGAUGUAGCCAAUAAUGAGAGCAUUGAACAAUCCUUCUUUAAUGCAUACCACAAAUUUUAGUAACUCGUGAUCUCCACAAUUUAGAGCACAAGGAAGCUGGCCUUUGGAAAGAUGUGACAUGACAUUUAGAAAUGGGUAAAAAUUCCAGAGAUCAUUCCAAUCAUUAAGGAAUCCAAAGCCUUAUAAUUUGAAUAGGGCAUUUACUUGGCAUGGAUAACGCACCUAUCUUAGGACAAAUACCACAUGUUGAGCACCAAUUCAAUUAUCAACUCUCUAUGAAACUGGAGAUACAAGGUACUAAUGUUAGUAAAAAUUAGCUGGCAGCUCUUCUUCUUAUACUAGUAUUAGGGGCAAAGCCUUGCGAAAACCCUCAAUCAACAAAUUACCAAGGACAUGAGAUCAUGUUGUAAUCUUAUCUCCAAUCUCCAGUUGCAAAUAGAUUAUUUCUUUCAAUUAACAAUCUUUAAUGCUUUCACUUCUAUCAUAGGAUAUGAAAUUUGGAAAAACAAGUAAGCUUUAUAAUAUUAGGAAUAUGCAAGGAAUUGAUGAAGGUCAUGAAUCUACUUAAAAUUAAAAAUUAAAAAAUAAAAACAAAGAUUUUUUCACCUAUGAAUAUCGUAACCAGCUUCCAAAAAGCAUUAGGUAAGGCAAUAACCAAAUGUUCCUCAGGUAUUAAAGUUAAAGUUCAAAGUUACCAAGAGUGCAUUUUUUGACCCAUGCAUAAAAUAAAAAGAAAAUAAGAACACAUACCAUAUAACUCACAAUUGUGUCAAGUAUGAGUUCAGUUUAUGUUCAUGCACAAUUGCAUUAAGUAUUUGAAAGCUAAAUAAGGCUAUGCGCAAUUCAAAGAAUAACAUACAAUGCUCACAACUUAUCAUAGAAUGAGAACUCAAUUGUCUUUCUUCCAGUCAUAAGAGUUUGUGCUCUUUGAGCCUCUGACUUGCACAACUCAAGAUAGCAGAACAUGCCAAAAAGUCUCCUUCACCUUAAACAUUAUUCAAAUAUGCAAUAUAAAUCUUGAUAAGAAAAUUUUCUACAAAUAUAACAUGUUGCAAACAAAUAACAAUAUGUUAGUUUAAAAUUGAAGAGCAUUUUAAACUAAACAAAAUAAAAAAAAAAUUUAAUGUUUAUCACUCACCUAAAAACUUGUAUGUUGGAUAAAAUUCAUGCUAAUGAAUCCUGACAAUUGUUUGCAAUCAAAAUUUAGUAAUAACUUAUAAACCAAAAAAAAAAGAGGAAAUUACAAAAUUCUUUAGCAAUUUUCCAUGAAAAAUACAUUGUACAUUGAUUGAGAAGUGAAUAUCUAAUUUGAAAGACACUAAAAACUAGAUGUUAUCUUGAGUUCUCCAUGUAUCAAAAUAGAUGCAAGUUGCUAUUCGAGCCACCACAAUCACGGAGUACGAGACUUCUCAGCAUGGAAGGCAUACCAGAUUUCAAACAAGGUUCUUAACUUUCCAAGAGACAUAAGAACAUGGUGUGUUGUAUAAACUGUAGAAUAAAUAAAUGGAAGUUAGAUACACAUGCACUUGCUACUUAUUUUUUUUAAUCAUCUAUGAAAUAAAUAAAGAGGUGUUACUUGUAUUCAAUCCAAACUUGUGGUCUCCAAUGUAAAAUCCAAAUCUCAUUUUGUCAACACAAUAAGAGCAUUAAACAUACAACAAAUUGAAUCCUUCCUUUUGACAAUGUGAAAACCUGAAAGAAAUGACUCGGGAUCAUAAACAAUUAUACGAUAAAGAAAAUUUUCAUUAUUCUUUCUAAAAGAAAAAUAUGUUAUUUCCUUGAUUACGGAAGAUAGAUAUUUUGACAUAAAGUGCACUUAUUAAGGUAAACUUUGUGCAUUAUACAUUGAAAUUAGAAAAUUGUAUUUAAAUCCAGUUAGAAAGGUACCAUAAAAGAUGCAUAAUUGAAAUGAAGGCAUCCAUGCCAAUUUGUAACUGUUGUCAAAUAACACCUUCCCUUGACAUUUUAUGUCCCAUGCCUGCAUGUCAAAUCUCCAACUAAGACUACUCAAAGAGCACCUAAAAGAAAAUUACCAAGAUUUCAUCACAUGCAGAACUCGAGAUGCUAACAUUGAACCAUGGGAGGGAUCAACAAGAAACAAAAUACUUACCCAUAAGUUUGUAAUUUGUUGUACUCAAAACCCGCUUCCUAGUCAAACUUUCAACACAACUCCAUGGAGACUUUCACAAAUAGUUAAGCCACUAGUAGAAAAUAACAUCAAUAUGAGAAAUUGACAAGGUACUGUGCAAAUAAAAGAGUAUAAAUGUGUGUUGAGAAUAAGAGUUACCUUAAUUAAUGUAAGGAUAGGAUAUGGUUGAAUUGGCUCUGCACCUAUUUUUGCAAUUUGAAUUUAUUACGGUUCAAAAAUGAGUUUAUGAUCUAUCCUCACUUUAGGGAAAGUGGGCAAUCUUCUUGAAACAUCUUUGAUUUAGAGAUUCGAUAAAACUUAAAAGGCAACCUUUCACUUGGAAAAGAGGGCUAGAAUAGGGCACCCCUCAAUCUCUACAAGUUAAAGAGAUGAAGUUUUGAAGACCAAGGAAGGGGGCUAGGGAUUCUGGAUUUGACAAUAUUUUCAUUGAAAUAUCAAUGAGAGUUGUAGCAAGAAAUACUGUAAAAAAGAAAGGAUGUGAAAGGUGGAAAUUCCACGAUUUCCAAUGAUUCAAGAAGAUAAUUCCUAUGGCUAUUGUUGUCAUUGUGCAUCAUUCAACUAGCUAUAGACUACAUAAUUGAACAAUCAUGAACACAUAGAUGCUCAAAUAAGGUAUGUAGUUCAUUGAGUGGAAAAGCAAAUGAGACUUGGACAUCUCAAGAUUUCUAGGAAUCAAGACAGAUACAAGUUGUUGUUGUUUCCUAUUAUAAUUCAUCUAGAUUGCAAUCAACAAGCACUAACUCCAUUCACUGCAUGUUUUGAGUCUUCAACAUAAAACCCAAAUUCCAUUCUAUCAACCAAAAAAAAAAAAAAAAAUCCUAAUAACUCCUCUAGAAACCAUUUUUUGUCUCAUAUUAUAAGAUGUAGGAUGUAACUCACUUCCAUCAUUGAGAAUGAAUUGAUAAAACUUUGCAAUACUAGUAUAUUCAGCUUCAUUAUAAUGACCUCAUUAGAACUAGAAUAAGUGAAGUGAUAAUGUUAUCUAAUUAGUAAACCAAACCAAGUUAAUAAACUAGAACUUCCUCUAGUAUAGCCUCUACGUAAAAGAAAUUUAAAGGUCUUGAUACAUUAGAUAUUGAAAUUGUUGGAUUAAAAUCUUAUUUAUUGCACCUGGCAAGAUAGAAGUAAUAAUGCUAAUUUCGAAUUAUGACAGAUUAUAGAGAAAAUUAGACAUUGAGAAAAUACCAAGCCAAAAGCCAUGUCAAGAUCUGCUUUCUAGUUAAAAAUUUUAGCAAAAAAUUAAGUCCAAUUAAAAAAAAUUGCAGUAGUAGGUAAAAGAAAUUGAAAGUGAUGUUGAGGAGAGAAAGAGGAAUAAUGAUGUUGGGAAUGAGAUGUAAUACCUGUUUUAUUGCUCAGAGAUGGAUUAGUCAUAUAUUUCUUGACUAACCUUAUAAAUUAGUAGAAUUUAACAAGUUACAAAUAGUUCCCCCACCUAAUCUUUUAAAUUAAUCUUGAUGUUGACAAGCAAUUUGCCAACCAUAAUUAUAAAAAGACAAAUAAAUCGAGUUGAUUUACUAGAUUGCAAGUGGGUGCCCUUACCUAAUCUUUUAAAUUAAUCUUGAUGUUCACAAGCACUUUGACAACCAUAAUUAUAAAAAGACAAAUAAGUCAAGCUGAUUUUACUAAAUUGAGAUUAAUAAAUUGCAAGUGGGUGCCCUUUACCUAAUCUUUUAAUUUAAUCUUCAUAUUGAUAAGAACCAAAUCGGCCAUAAUUAUAAAAAUAAGAAGACGACAAGCUAUGAUUACUUUUAUUAACUAAAAUUUAAUAAAUCACAAUUUCUCUUACCUAACCUUUAGAUUAAUCUUGAUAACUUUGCAAUAUAAUUAUAAAAAGAGAAAGACGACAAACUAAUUUAAUUGGCUAAUUUUAUUAACUUAGGUUUAAUAAAUUAAAAUUAGGUUGAUCUCUUACCAAUCUGUGGACCCCGUAUUUCGGCUCAUGCGUUUCCCACUCAAUGGCGAGCUUGAUUUUUAUUUUGAAAAAUGAUUUUAUUGAUUAAGAACAUGACUUGGAGUCGCCACUUAUUUUUGUUUUAUUUUUAAAAGGGUAAACAAAAUAAGACAGAAAACCCUAGGUGUGACUCCUUGUUUUGGAAAAGGUUGGUCUGCGAAAAAUCGGAUCGGGUUUCGGGGGUCAGGUUACUUAUUGGGAAGGUACGAUGGAGAUCGUAGCACCCCUCUAAAUCCCUAGAAACGGGUCUCUACUAAUAAAAUGAAGCAAUCAUGGCAAUCGAUUAAUCGAGCAUGGAUACCAAAUGAAUGUCACUCAAAACAAAAUAACUGAAUGAACGAGAGAGGCAAAGAAUGUACCUAAGUGAUGAACCGGUUUACUUCAAGGGAAACAAGGGUUAGUGAACCAAUAUAAGAUGAAUAUAUGCGUAUCACAAAGCAGAAUAAAUCAAUCACGCAUGACAAUUGGAUGAAUCAAUCCAUUAAUCAAUCAUAAAUCACAUGUGUAGGGCCCCCACCAAAGCCCGGUUUUUGACAGACCACAUUUUCCAAAAUAAGGAGUCACACUUAGGAUUUUCUUUCUUAUUUUGUUUACCCUUUAAAAAAUAAAACAAAAAUAAGUGGUGACUCCAAGUCAUUUUCUAAUAAAUAAAUCAUUUUUCAAAUAAAAUCGAGCUUGCCAUUGAGUGGAAAACGCAUGAGCCGAAAUGUGGGGUCCACACUAUCCUUUUUAAUUUAAUCUUAAGAUCAAUAAGAAUCAUACAGACCAUAAUCAUAAGAAGAGCCAAAACAAAAGUCGAUUUGAUAUUUAAUUAGUUAAUUUUAUUAACUAUAAGAUAUAAAAAAUUGUUAAGAGGUGUCUUAAAUUCCAAAUUAGAAUAUACCAUUUUUUUGUGAAACAAAUAUUACAUAGAAUAUUUCCAAAGUUUAUAUGUGAUUGUAAUUAAAUUCAAGCUAGUACAAAUAUAUUUAUAAAUAUUUUAGGACCUGAAGAGAAAAAAUUAUGGAAGAUAUGAAAAAGAGAUGUGAUCAAGAGCAAGAGACAUUGGUAGAACAAGAGGGUUCACUAGGGAAGGGUGUAGAUGUGAAGAAGAAUGAGAAACACUUAGUGGAGCAAAAUGAUUCUUGGUUUAUGAUAGAGAUACAAAGAGCAGGAAAAAUGAGAUGUUUGGGCCUUAGUAGUUGUCUAACCGUUAUAUGUGGUUUUCUUUAUUCAUGUGUUCUUCCUUUAAUCUUUUUGAAUUGAGGUUUCCAUUUUUCUUUUGUUCCUAGGAUUUUUUCAUGUUAUCAAUUAUGCCCAUUUCCAAUUUCAUUAGAAACUUGUGUUCUACAAUUUGGGAAAUGAAAAUAAUUAUUUUUCUAUAAUUUUUGUAUAAUUUUGUUAGUUAAUAAAAAGUAGAAUAUAGAUAAUAUUAGCCAUCAAAUAGAAAAAUAAAUAUGACAAUUAAUGUGUUUUCACAUCAUAUUUGUACUUAGAUGGUUUUGCUUGUAUGAAGUAAUUUAAUGCAACUAUGAAGAUUUAUAUGAAAUAAACUUUAUAUAAUUUUAGAUUUAAUAAUCGAUUAAUUUUUAUUUGAAGAUACAAAAACAUAAAAUAAAAGUCUUGUUCAAAAACUAUUAUUGAAAACAACAUGAAAAAUGAGGUUUUUUCACUUAGAAAUAUACAUUUGACAAACUUUUGAUAUAAAACAAUUUAUUUUUAGAAUUUAUUCUUCAAAUAAGUUAUUUUUCAGAACAAAAUUGAUUUUUUUUUUAAUUUUUUCACAAUAAUUUAAAUAAAAAUUGAAGAUAUAGAUAAUAUAUAUUUUGGAAAAUUUUGUAUCGUAUUUAAGUGUACAAUUCCUUUGGAAAGAAUAAAUCGAAAUGGGUAAUUGCAAUUUUCAAAAAUUGUUUUGAAGAAUUAUUUUCACAAAUGUUAUCAAAUGAGCUCAAAACUUUCUACAUCAUUUAUAUUAAUCUUGAGUUCAAUAAAAAUCUUUCCACAAUUGAAAAGAGAAAAAAAAAAAGUUAAUUAGUUGGUUAAUUUUUACAAUCCUAAAAAAGAAAAUUAUAAAAAAUAAUAAUAUUUAAAAAAAUUUAAAAAAAAAAUUCACUAGCUAAAAUAAAAAUUCACUAUCAAAAUAAAAGAUUAUCUAUUAUUUUUCUAUUUUUGACUUAUAAUCAAGAAUGUUCAUAUAAUUUCUUUUACAAUAACAUACUAAAGUAGAAAGAUAUUAAAAUGGAAAAAGAAAAUGAUUAACAAUAAAAUUCAUAAAAAGAAAUGAAAAUUAAGAAGAUUUUAAUCCACUUGAAAUUUAUUUCAACGAAAUAGUAUUGCAUUUAAAUUAUUGAAGGUCAUACCAAUUUAUUUUCUUCCUUUUUUAAUACUUAAUUUUGUUAUCAAACGGUGAAAAAAUUACUAAUCAAGGAAAAUGAGAAAAGAAAAUAUUUUUCUUGAAAGUUGAUGAAUUUGUUAAGAAAUGAAAACAAAAGGUCUUUUAUGGGAUACUUUAUUAAAUUAAAUUAAAAACUUAAUUUAAAUCAUUAAAUAAAUUAAGUAUGUUUAGUAAAAUAACAUAAUGGUAUGAUUUAAAAUAAAUAAAAAACUUUAAAUGAUAAAUAAAAAUAAUUAACUUAUUCUUAAAUUCAUAUUUUUAUUUUACCUUUUUAUCCUAAUUUUCCAUAAUUACCUUCACAAUUUCCUUUACUAUUCCACGAUCUUUACUUUUACACGAUCUCCUUUACCCUAGUUAUAAUUUAUGAGGAUAAAUAUGUCAAUUUGAUCAUUUAUAAUUAAUCAUAAGUUAGUUUUGUAAAACAAUCUUCAUACUUAAAAUAAAAAUUAAGUAAUAAGUUUUAAGUUAAUAAUUUAACUAAAAGUCAACUUAAAUAAUUAAGUAAUUAGUAUUAAGUUUUAUCAAUUUGGGUGACCAAUUUUUAUUGAAAAUAAAAAACCAAACAAAAGCUGAUCAAUACAAAAGAAAAAAAAAUGAAUGGUAUGAAGUAGACAUUUUGUCUUUAUGAGAUUAUUGAUGGAAGUGUAAUAGACUAUAAACAAGUCUAUGAGAAUCAAUUCCAAUGAGUCCUAAAACACAUCUAUGAGAAAUAAAAUAAAACCAUGACAUAAAGAAAUGAUAUUUAAGUGUUAAUAAAUAGGAAUCGGAUACAUAUAAAUAAAAUUUAGAUUGAUUAUAAAUGAAAUUAUUUUUAUUAUGUGGUUGUUUUUAAUGGACCACCAAUUUUUAUUUUUAUUUAUUUUUUUAUAUUCCAUAGAAAAAUUACUUUCCAAUACCAUAGAAUCACCCUAAUUUCAAAUUGAGAUUUACUAUCUUAAAUUUUAAAUUUUUAAGGGCAUGAACUAAAUCUAUAUUUUUUGUUAAGAAUUUCUAUUCUUUAUAUGGAAGUUUUUAUCAAUUUUUAUUUUUAAAAACAAAAAAUAAGUACUUAGAGUACCUUUGACAAUAAUUUUAAGAAGUCUUUCUAAUAUUUUAAAUACUUGAAGAAUAAAAAAUUUUAUUUAUUGAAACAAUUGAAAAAUGCACUUUUAGUAUGUAAUGAUAUUAAUUUCUUCGAAGAGAGAGAUUUACAUUUAAGAUAAAAAUAAAUAAAUAAAACAAUACAAGGAUAAAAAAUUAUUUUUAAAAAAAACUUUUAACUUCUUGUACUUUAUCAUUACACACUUUUUUCAUUAGAUGCUUUAAAUAAUUUUUAUGAAAUAAAAUUAUAAUUAUAUUGAUGGAGGGCUAAUUAACUUUGCUUUAGGUGAGAAAGAUAGAGAUAACAUUGAAGUGGGUCCACAUCUAAAACAAAAAUGAAAUAAAAAGUAAAGAUGAAGAUAAGGUUGAGGUGGGUUCACAACUAAAAAAAGUAUGAGAUGAAUUGACCAAAGCUUAUGCCUUCUUCCAAAUAGUAAAAGCAAAGCCCAAUAGUAUAAAGUGAUGACACUAGUCCUAUUCAAGGCCCCACUUGCAUAAUUGCUACAUCUUUUGACUUGAUUUUAGUUCAAUUUCACUAAAAUGAAAUCAUUUAUUUGAGCCCAAAAAUUCAAAUCCAAAUCCAACCCACUUAUUUAUAUACAUUAUUGGCAUGGAAUCAGAAGAGUUAUAAAGUAAGAAAAUUUGAUCAUAUGAUAAAUAGUAAUUUUUCAAAGUUGGAGCCAAUCCAAUACCCAAUGGGUAUAAAAGAAAAAUGAAAGAUGUGGAAAUUAUAGUGGAAUCUUGAAACAAAAUUUUGAGGUUUAAAGUGAUGUGACAACCGUUUCCAAGUAAUUGCCUAAGAAUGUGAGAUGUCAUUGAAAAUUGAUAUUAAAUCUCAUUGGGUAACUAUAAGAAUUGCUUUACAUAAAGACAAGUAAUAAAUAUAUCCUGUUUUUUCAAAAAGUUUAUGACCCUAAGUGAAUAAAAUGGUGAAUAAAACUUUUAGAGUAGGAUGAAUGCAUUUCACGUGAGUCAUGUCCUAGAUAUAUUUUUAGAAUUUUCUAGUAGGAUGUCGAGGAAAACUCUAUGAUGAGUGCUUUCUUUCUAGUUAAGGUAGGUCCAAUUUGGUGCAAUUCGCCAACAUAAUUCAAACCCAACUUAUGUUUUAGGGAUUUGAAUUGAGUAAAAUCAUAUUUAAAUUAAAUUAAUCAUAUGAAUCUACAUAACCCAUUUAAUAAAUAGAUUAUUUUUAGGUCAAUCUGGAUAACUCACAUUUGACUCAAAUUAACUUAUUUAAUAAUGGUAUUGGUUAACCUAAUAAUAACUUUAACUUAUUGAACUCAUAUUUGACUCAUGUAAAUUUUUUUUCUUCAAUAAGUAUGUCAUAAUUGGGUCAUAAACAUGUCAUAUUAGAAUAUUAACCAUAUUAUUUCAUUCAACAUUUAACUUGACUUGAUUAUGAAAUAACAUCUUAUUAUUAAAUCGGUUAAACCUGUUAUAAUGUAUCACCUAGAUAAUAAUUAUAUUGUGUUUGAGUUUAUGUUUUAAAUUUUUAUUAUUAUUCAUGUCAUGUUUGGGUUGAGUUAUUUAGUGGAGGAUCUAACCUUUGAUAUAACACAAACACAACCCACUAACAUAAAUUGUCAUCCUCACUUCUACUAAUAAGUGAUUUGUUUCUUACAAUUAAGAAAAUUGAGAAGAUAUAAUUUUUUUUAUAAAUCUUAAAUGCAUGAUUAAAGUUAAUUAUAACUUUUAAAAGUUUUCUAAUUCAUAUUCCAUCCAAACUAACAAAAUAUUAGAAAUCUUCAAUGGUUUUGUCUACAAUAAUUGUGUUGUGCUAAAUUAUCCCCUUCUCUACUAACCAAAACAUGUUCUUUCACAAUCAAAUAUCAACAUGUUUAAGCAGCCGGUGAGGCAUCUCUUGACAAUGAGGUGAGAGGUAGAAACAAGAAACAUACCUGUAUUCAAGAAAAGUGUUGUUUCUUCAUUUGCAUUAGACAACAUUCAUUUAGUCUAAACUUGAAGGUGGAUUGCUAGAAUCUAAGCUCUUGGAAAGACAUAAGAGAACUACAUUUAGAAAUAUGAAAGAAGCCUAGAGACUUGUUGCUACUUGUGAAUCACUGUAAUCAGAAACAAUUCCAGAUAAUCCUGCAAUUUUGGCCCUUUGAUUUGCUCUGUUGCAUUUUUCCAAGAACAAUUCUAAAAUGUUUUUCUUUAUUGAGCUAUAAUGAUUUUAUUAUUAGGAUUUAAUUAUAUUCAUUAGGUUUGCAAAUCACAAAAAUGGUGUCGUGCCUAUGAAUAUUUUUCUCUUUGAUCAUGUAAAGUUGGGAAGCAAUUAUGAAAUACUAUGAUAGCACAAUAUAUUGAUCCACACAGUUUGUGGCAUGACAGUUUAAUGAAAUUAUAGAAGUGUAGCACUCAUGGGUAUGUCAUGUGAACCGUUUUCAAUGGGGCUACUUGUUUAAAUUUACAUGGGUGAAUUGUCACACCAAUAUCCUUUGAUGAACCUUGGGUUUUUUUUUUCUGUUUCUUCCUCUCUUGGUCAAGACAAACAAUUUGUCUUCAUAAGGACUUCGUGUUACCAAUAAGCAGCAUCUUGUGUUCUCCUUCUCUCCAUCCCUUGUCAAGACACAUCAAUCUGAUGCAUCUUUGCAUUGGGUUGCUUCCUCUCCUUUCCCUUUCCUUCCUCCUUGAGGCAAAAUCGCAUCAUUGCUUAGUUUUGACUAUGUUUAUUUUGAUCAUUGUGAGAGAGCAUCAUUGUAAGAUGAACAAGAAACGUGUUGUGGUGCAUUAUUCCCUCCUCUACCACCUAAAAUCUAUUUUACACGAUCAUAAGGACCAAGGUGUUUUAAACAUCAGGUAAGAAUUUGUUGACAAUGAUAUGAGAGAUAGAGACAAGCAACAUACCAGUAUUCAAAAGACGUGAUGUUCUUCUUUUGAAUUUGACAACAUUCAUUUAAUCUAAACUCCACAUUUGGGCAACUCAGAAUCUCCACCUUCAUUAGGAUUGCAGGAAGCUGGCUUCUUGGAAAGACAUGGAAAUGGGGCAUCUAGAAAUCCAAAAGAAUUCUAAAGGCUUGUUACUACUUUUGAAUCAUUCCAAUUAAUAACAACUCUAAAAGAUAUAAACAAAUCUGUCCCUGGGAAAGAGACGUGUCAUGUGCAUAUGCAACUAUCUCUCUAAUAGACUUAGGGUUGUGCACCCUCAUGGUAGUUUCUUAUAUAUUGCACCAUAUGAGUUAAAGAUAUUCAACUACCAAUAUCACUACACCUUAAUGAACUAGGAGUUAUGCUGAAAGUGAAGUUGACAACCCAUCAUCGAAAGAAUCCUAUAGGAAUACACCAAAAUGAAAAUCUUAUUAACAUAAAUGAAUUCAUCCAGUUAAAAGAUAAAGUUGCUUGAAAAAUUGAAUUGGGAGAGAUAGAAAUAUUAAUGCUUUCAUAGGAUUGUGGAAGGGGUCAACAAGUGGAACAAACAUUGAAUAGUAAAUGUAAAUCCAUAAAGCUUGUAACUAUUGUCAAAAGUUGCUCCCUAGUGAAGUUUUUUCACAAUAAAGGUAAGUGCAAAAUUCACCUAAUAGCUCCACUUGUAGAAAAUUUCAAUGGUGUGAAACUAGGAUAUGGUGAACUCGCUUCCGCUAUUGCAGUGAACCAUUAUGGAUCAAAAAUGAAUCUCACCAUUGGUUUUCACAUAGGAGAUGUGGGCUAUCUUUGGCCCAUAUCUCAAUAUUGGAUUUAGGAGUUCUGUUUCUCAUAUAUGGUUCCACUUGCAAAAUACAAAUGGAGCUUAGCUGAUGAUAACAAAUUUAGAAAAAUGCAAGAAUUCCAUAGACAUGUUUUAUGCUAUCAUGAAUCAUUCCAAUCAGUAAGGAAUCGAAGUGCUAUAAUUUUGAAUUGUCUUAAGGAACAAACCCCAAUUCCAUCUUGUGAAAGUAAACUAUCUUGAGCACCAACUCAAUUAUGAGUUCUUUAGGAGACUUGAGACACCAAUUCAAUCAAAGAUGCUAGUUGUUUCUGAGGUAGAUUGUCUUCCUCCAUUAAUACUAGGGAAAAUGCUUUUGAAGACCAUUCAUCUGCUAAUUACAAAGGGAAAUGAGAUUAUGUGAUCUGGGAAGAGAAUUAAGCUUCAAAAUAUUGCCAAUAUGCAACCAACAAUUUCUAAUUCUAUCACUUCUAUUCUAGCAUGUGAUUUGUGAAGAGAAUUAAGCUUUGAAAUGUUUCCAAUAUGCAACAAAUUGAGAGAGGCCAAGUGGGCAACCACCAUAGCUAGUUCACAAACAAAACAUGUUUCCCACAAUCAUAAAUACCAAGGUGUUUAAGCAUGAGGUAUGGCAUCUCUUGACAAUGAUGUGAGAGAGAGACAAACAACAUACCAGUGUUCAAGAGAAGUAGUAUUCUUCUUUUCCAUUCGACAACAUUCAUCUAUUCUACAUCCCAAAUUUUUAGCAACUUAAGAUCUCCACCUUCAUUAGGAUUGCAGGAAGCUAGCCUCUUGAAGACACGAGAGAACAUUUAGAAAUCUAAAAGAAUUCCAAAGACUUUCUGUUGCUUGAAUUGUGAAUCAUUCCAAUCAUAAAUACCAAAGUAUUCUAAGAUCAGGUAAGACAUCUCUUGAUAUUGAUGUGAGAGAUAAAGACAAGAAACAUACCAAUAUUCAAGAGAAAUAGUAUUCUUCUUUUGCAUUUGACAACAAUCAUCUACUCUAAACCCCAAAUUUUAGCAACUUAGGAUCUCCACUUUCAUUAGGAUUGCACGAAGCUGACCUUUUGGAAACACAUGAGAGGACAUUUAGAAAUCUAAAAGAAUUCCAGAGACUUGCUAUUGCUUGAAUUGUGAAUCAUUCCAAUCAUAAAUACCAAGGUGUUUCAAGAUCAAGUAAGACAUUUCUUAGCUAUGAUAUGAGAGAUAGAGACAAGCAACAUACCAGCAUUCAAGAGAAGUAGUAUUCUUCUUUUGCAUUCAACAACAUUCAUCUACUCUACACCCCAAAUUUUAGCAACUCAGAAUCUCCACCUUCAUUAGGAUUGCAGGAUGCUGGCCUUUUGGAAACACAUGAGAGGACAUUUAGAAAUCUGAAAGAAUUCUAGAGACUUGUUGUUGCUUGAAUUGUGAAUCAUUCCAAUCAUAAAUACCAAGGUGUUUCAGGAUCAGGUAAGGUAUCAAUUGGCAAUGAUGUGAAAGAUAGAGACAAGUGACAUACCAUUAUUCAAGAGAAGUAGUAUUCUUCUUUUGCAUUCGACAACAUUCAUCUACUCUACACCCUAAAUUUUAGCAACUCAGGAUCUCCACCUUCAUUAGGAUUGUAGGAAGCUGGCCUCUUGGAAACACGUGAGAGGACAUUUAGAAAUUUGAAAGAAUUCCAGAGACUUGUUGUUGCUUGAAUUGUGAAUCAUUCCAAUCAGUAACAACCCCAAAGCCCUAUAUACAAUUUUGAACUGUCAACCUUCUUACAUUGAAUGAAAAACCUAUCCCUAGGAAAAAGGUGUCUUGGGCAUACAACCAUCAAUUAUUAUCUCUCGAAGAGGCUUAAAGUAGUGCACCCUCUUGGUAGCUUCUAAUUCAUUACAUCAUAUAACUUCCAGAUAUCCAAUUGACAUGUCACUACACCUAAAUGAAGUAGAAAACAUGGUGAAUAGGAAGUUAGACAACCUUUCACAAAAAGAAUCCUGCAACAAGAAUACACCAAGCAGAACUUCUUGUUAACAUAAAUGAAUUCACUCAGUUAAAUUAUUGUGUUAAAAUUUAAAUUGGGAGAAAUAAAAAUACUAAUGCUUACAUGGGACUAUGGGAUGACCAACAAGAGGAACAUACUAUGAAUAGAAAAUGUGAAGCCAUAAAGCUUGUAAUUGUUGUUAGAUGCUGCUUCCUAGUCAAGUUUUCAACAAAAAGGUUGAGUGUAGGGGUUCUCUAGUAGUUGAACUUGUAGAAAAUUUUAACAGUAUGAUAAUUUAUACUUGUAACAAGAAGAUAAAAUGUAAGAAUUAUGUGUUGGGAAUAGAUGAAACUUACUAAAUAUAUGGAUAGGAUAGGGUGAACCCUCUUUGCUUCCAUUUUUGGAAUCCAAAUUAUUAUGGAUCAAAGUUGGAUUUCUCCAUCUAUUAAAUACAACUAGAGCUUAGGUGAGGUUUUGGUGAUAUAGGAAAUUCAUGGAUUCUGGAAUCUUUACAUGGAAAUAUACAUGAGUGAUUCAUUGGAAGAAAGGGCAAGCCUUAGUCAUAUGAGAAGAAACAAAUCUUAAAUAUACUAUCAAUCUUGAGUUGUUUGAGAGUGGUGAGUCUGUGAAGGCCUCCCUCAGAUAAGGGAUGUCUUUGACAUUUCUCCUUCUUCAAUCUCAAGAAGGUACACCAUCAACUAGAAAAUUAGGAAUGUGAGUCAUCAUGAACAACUUGUUUAUGUUCUUUAUUCUUUUCUCACUAAAGGGGAUUAAAAGAUAUGUAGUUGCAAGGACAAGAGAUGUAGCCAGUAGUGAGAGCAUCAAACAAUCCUUCUCUAAUGCAGACCAUAAAUUUUAGCAACUCGUGAUCUCCACAAUUUAGAGCAUUGAAGGAAUUUUCCUUGUUGGAAAGAUGUGACAUGACAUUUAGAAAUAUGCAAGAAUUCCGGAGUUCAUUCCAAUCAUUAAGGAAUCCAAAGCCCUAUAAUUUAAAUAGGGCAUCCCCUCGGCAUGGAUAACACACCUAUCUUGGAAAAAAGACUGGGCACCAAUUCAAUGAUUAACUCUCUAUGAAACUUGAGAUACAAGGUACUAAUGUUAGUUGCUUCCGUGGUAGUUCUUUUACUGGUAUUGGGGUAAAGCCUUUUGAAAACCCUCAAUCUACAAAUUACCAAGGACAUGAGAUCAUGUUGUAAUGUCAUCUCCAAUCUCUAGCUACAAACAAAUUAUUUCUUUCAAUUAACAAUCUUUAAUGCAUUCACUUCUAUCAUACGAUAAGCAAUUUUGGAAAACAAGUAAGCUUUAUAAUAUUAGGAAUAUGCAAGGAAUUGAUAAAGGCCAUGAAUCUGCUUUCAAAAAAUAAAUUAUAAAAACAAAGAUUUUUUCACCCAUGAAUAUUGUAAUCAGCUUCCAAAAAACAUUAGGUAUUGCAAUAACCAAAUGUUCCUCAGGUUACCAAGAAUGUUUUUUUUUCACCCAUGCAUAAAAUAAAAAGAAAAUAAGAAAGCAUACCAUACAACUCACAAAUUUGUCAAGUAUGAGUUCGAUUCGUGACCAUGCACAAUUGCAUUAAGUAUUUGAAAGCCAAAUAAGGCUAUUUGCAAUUCAAAUAAUACCAUACAACUCACAACAGAAUCCUCAUAGCUCACCAUAGAAUGAGAAUUCAAUUGUCUUUCCUCUAGUCAUAAGAGUUUGUGCUCUUCGAGCCUUUGACUUGCACAACUCAAGAAAGCAAGACAUGCCAAAAGACUCCUUCACCUCAAACAUUAUUCAAAUCCAUAGUAUAAAUCUAGAUAAGAUAAUUUUCUACAAAUAUAACAUGUUGCAAACAAAUAACAGUAUGUUGGUUUAAAAUUGAAGAGCAUUUCAAACCAAACAAAAUAGAAAAAAUUUCAGUGUAUAUCACUCACCUAAAAGCUUGUAUGUUGGAUAAAAUUCUUGCUAAUGAAUCUUGACAAUUAUUUGCAAUCAAAAUUUAGUAAUGAUUUAUAAACAAAAAAAAAAAAUUACAAAUUUUUUUAGCAAUGUUCCAUGAAAAACACAUUGCAUAUUGAUUGAGAAAUUAAUAUGAAAUCCACUAAUUUGAAAGGCACUAAAAACCAGAUGUUGUCUUGAGUUCUCCACGUAUCAAAAUAGAUGCAAGUUUCUAUUCAAGCCACCACAAUCACGAAGCACGAGACUUCUUUGCAUGGAAAGCACACUAUAUUUUAAACAAGGUUCUUAACUUUCCAAGAGACAUAAGAACAUGGUGUGUUGUAGAAACUGUACAAUAAAUAAAUGGAAGUUAUGCACUUGCUACUUAGUUUUUUAAUCAUGUGUGAAAUAAAUAAAGAGGUGUUACUUGCAUUUAGGCCAAACUUGUAGUCUCCAAUGUGAAAUCCAAAUCUCAUUUUGUCAACAGAAUAAGAGCAUUAAACAUAUAGCAAAUUGAAUCCUUCCUUUUGAAAAUUUGAAAACCUUAAAGGAAUGACUUGAGAUCAUAAAUAACUAUACGGUAAAGAAAAUUUUCAUCAUUCAUUCUAAAAGGAAAAUUUGUCAUUUCCUUGAUUACAGAAGAUUGAUAUUUUAACAUAAAGUGUACUUAUUAAGGUAAAAUUUGUGCAUUAUAUAUUGAAUUAGAAAAUUGUAUUUAAAUCCGGUUAGAAGGGUAUCACAAAAGAUGCUUAAUUGAAAUGAAGGCAUCCAUGCCAAUUUGAAACUAUCGUCAAAUAACACCCUCCCUUGUCAUUUUACGUCCCAUGCUUGCUUGUCAAAUCUCUAACUAAGACUGCUCAAAGAGCACCUAAAGAAAAUUACGAAGAUUUCAUUACAGGUAGAACUUAAGAUGCUUACAUUGACCAUGGGAGAGAUCGAUAAGAAACAAAAUACUCACCUAUAAGUUUGUAACUAUUGUACUCAAAACUUGCUUCCUAGUCAAACUUUCAACAUAACUCCAUGGAGACUUCCAUAAAUUGUUGAGCCACUGGUAAAACACAACAUCAAUAUGAGAAAUUUACAAGGCUAUGUAGAUAAAAGAGUAAGAAAUGUGUAUUGAGAAUAAGAGUUACCUUAAUGAAUGUAAGGAUAGGAUAGGGUUGAAUUGGCUCUACACCCAUUUUUGCAAUUUGAAUUUAUUAUGGUUCAAAAAUGAGUUUAUGACGUAUCCUCAUUUUAGGGGAAGCGGGCAAUCUAGGGUCAAUCUCUAUCAUUCUCCUUGAAACAUCUUUGAUUUCAAAGUUUGAUAAAACAUAGAAGACAUCCUUUCACUUGACAAGGAGGACUAGAACAAGGCAUCCCUCAAUCUCUACAAGUUAAAGAAAUGAAGUUUUGAAGACCAAGGGAGGGGGCUAGGAUUCCAGAUUUGACAUUAUUUUCAUUGAAAGAUCAAAGAGAGUUGUAGCAAGAAAUCCUGUCAAAAGGAAAUUGCAUUUAACAAUAUACAAUAUAAAAUGAAUGAACUGAGUUUUUAGAGAGGUGAAUAUUUGGAGGCUCCACAAAGAUAAGGGAUUUUAAUACCCUUGCAAGUGUAUUCUUGAAAUUGUUUCCUCAAAGGAAACUUGAACCUGGACAAUGUGCAACACAAAGCUAUUAAAGAGAUGUGAGACUCUAAAUUUGAUGAGGUAGGACUUGAGAUUCGCAUUUUCUUUAGUGAGGAAUUCUGAGGUUGUAGACACACUAGUACUUUCCAGAUUUAGAUACUUCUCUUCAACUAUUUGUAUAACGUACAUCUUCUUUGACAUUGCUACUCCAACAGGAUGUCCAAUAGGAUGUGCAACCUAUUUGGGCAUACUACAUGUACAACAAAAAAUUUCAUUAAAACAAAAAACUUUUACUAAAACAAAAAUAUGAAGUUAAUGUCUAAGAAGAUAAGAUUUAUAUAUAGUGAAUUAUCAUGAUUGAUUUUAGCACAAAGGGAAUGACACCAAAAGUUUUAAGAAUAUCACCACCACAAGUACCUAAUUUGCAUCAUUAAAAAUUCCACAAGGAUUUGAUGGUUAGGCAAUAAAAUAAUUCUAGUAAAUGAGUUAAAAUCAGUUGAGCUAAGAAAGAUUAAAUCCAAAUAAGCAUCAAUCAUUAAAGAAUUAACCAACUACGAAAGACUUCAAAUGACUUUUUUUCUGUAAUUUCUGUUCCUAAUUGGCCCCAUUUGCUUGUACCAAAAUAUUAUUAAUUUGCUUUAAAGGAAAUGGGUGACUCAUAUCUCUGAAAGAAUGUGAGAGGUGGAAAUCCCUCGAUCUCUAGUGAUUCAAGAGGAUAAUUCCUAUGGCUAUUGUUGCCAUCAUACAUCAUUCAGCUAGCUAUAGACCACAAAAUUGAACAAUCAUGAAUAUGUAGAUGCUUAAAUAUGGUAUGUACUUUAUCUAGUGGAAAAGCUUAUGAGACUUGGACAUCUCAAGAUUUCCACAAAUUGAGACAGAUACAAGUUGUUGCUUCCUAUUAUAAUUUAUUUGGAUUGCAAUCAUCAAGCACUAACUCCAUUCACUGCAUGUUUUGAGCCUUCAACAUAAAACCCAAAUUCCAUUCUAUCAGCCAAAAAAAAAAAAUCACUACUAACUCCUCUGGAAACCAUUUUAUGUUGCUAAGAUUAUAAAAUGUAGGAUUUAACUUACUUCCAUCAUUGAAAAUGAAUUGAUAUAACUUUACAAUACUAGUAUAUUCAGCUUUUGACAUGGCUGAAAUUGAUCCUGGAAUAAAAAAUCACAUACACAAGUAGAUAUUUAACAGAAGAGGAUCCAAAAUCUCUUCAAUUGAUUAAUGUAUAAAUGAAUUAUUCAAAAUUUUUUGAGAUAAUUAUGGGGAGAUGAACCUUGUAUCUCUAAGUUUCUUAUUCUUCUUAAACAGAGCAAUGAGCAUCAAGUGUUGAGCACCUAGGAAUCUCCCUUCCUCCACAGGCAAAGUCUGAACAAUCUAUCCUUUCUUCAUAUUCCACUUCCUUGCAAAAGUCAAAACAUGAAGAAAAUAUCAUCAAAAUUGAGACAAAAAUAAGUGCAUCAACUAUCUCAAGAAGAGAUUUAUGCCUAUUGCUUACCUUUUGAAGAAGGCCACUUGAUUAGAGCACAUUUUACAUGGACGCCCAAUCACUGCAAGCUGCUGAACCAAAGGAGAGUUCAAACAUCUAAAAAAUUUGAAAAACUCAAGUAUCAUAAAAUACUUCAUAUGAAUUCUAAAUGAUCUCAUAUCUAAAAAACAUUGGCAUAAAAUUAUUGUUGUUUACCUUACAUGUUUCUUCCAUGGUCAUAAUCGAAACUUUGUUUAUCAUAAGAAAUCUUCUAUGCUCAUCUUGAUAACUUACAAUGAACACUGAAAUGAAAAGAAAAAAAAACACAAAAAAUGAUGAUUAGUUUGGUUUGAUAAAUUUAGCACACAUAAUUUCCUUUUUCUUGCAUGAGAAAGGAAAGAGUAAUAUAUAUAUAUAUAUAUAUAUAUAUAUAUAUGAAUUUAAUAAUUUUUUAAAAUUAGUAAUUAUAAAACUAUUUUGGUUCUCAAAAAAUUUAUGGGAAAGUAGGGAAAAAAAUUAUGAACUUUUUCUCUUGUUUGAUUAUUUAUCGAAAAAUUGAGGGAAAAACAAAAAUCUAUGAGAAAUUUAUUUAACACUUUUGAGGAACCAAAAAUGUUUUAGAUGUUGUCAAAUCGGUAAUUUAAAUGUGUUUAAUUCCAAUUAUUUGAGUUUAAUCAAACACAUGAAAUUGUGAAUAAAAUUAUUUAAAAGCAUUGAAAUUCAAGUCAUUAAAGUUGUCCAUAAAAUUUGGUUUAUUGAAACAAGAAAAAAACAAAGCAAUUUGAAUAACUUGCUAAUAAAGCAACUAACUAGAAUAUGCCCUAGAGUUGUUCAGUGCCCUCUAUAUAAGAAAUAAACAGAGAACACAAAAAAAAAAAAAACCCAGAAAAAAAGCAAACAAAAAACAGAGAACACUUCUUACGUUAUUUUUUCUUAAUUUUUCAACAGUUAUAAAUGAUUCAUUUCAUUUUUGCAAACUGCCAAAUCAAAAUAGAGCAUGAAAAUGUGUUCAAUAUUUGUGUCACCGUUUUUCCGGUAAAUGACCUCAUUGGAACUACAAUAAGUGAAGUGAUCAUGUCAUCUAAUUAGUAAACCAAACCAAGUCAAUAAACUAGAACUUCCUCUAGUAUAGCCUCUGUGUAAAAGAUAUUUAAAGGUCUUGAUACAUUAGAUAUUGAAUUUGUUGGACCUGGCAAGGUAGAAGUAGUAAUGCUCAUUUUUAUUGUGACAGAUUAUAGAGAAAAUUAGACACUGAGAAAAUACCAAGCCAGGAGCCAUGUCAAGAGCUGCUUUCUUGUUAAAAAUUAAGUCCAAUUAGAAAAUUAUAGUAGCGCGUAAGAGAAAUUGAAAGUGGUGUUGAGAAGAGAAAGAGGAAGAGUGAUGUGUUGGGAAUGAGAUGUAAUACCUUAUUUAUUACUCAGAUGGAUUAGUCAUCUAUCACCACUAGGGGUCUCCAACGGGCGGGCCGGGCCGUAAAUAGGAGGCCCGCGGCCCAGCUCGGGCCGGGCCUAUGGGCCCGUUGACUGGUCAACAGGCCGGGCCGGGCCGGGCCAGGGAAAAAUCUUCGGCCCGCGGCCCGGCCUAUGAGCCCGCGGGCUGGGCGGGCUGGGCUGCGGGCCGGGCUGGCGGGCGGGCUGGCGGGCCGGGCUGGGGGCGGGCUGGCGGGCCAAGCCUUGGGCUUUUUUAAAUAAGCCAAAAGGCUUUAGAAAUGAAUGGAGAGGGGGGGAUUCGAACCCCUCCCCUCAUGGUUCAAAGUAAAGGCUCUAACCAACUGAGCCACAUUACUUUUGUGUUUAAUGUUAGAGUUAGUUAUAUAUAUAUAUAACAUAAAGUAUAUUAUUUUUUAAAAAAAAAUUAAAGGCUCCAACGGUCAUGUGACCGUUGGAGCUCCAACAGUCCAACCCAUGCUCCUAGCUGCCAUGUGACCGUUGGGCAACGGUCACAUGGCCAAUUUUUUUUUUUUUUUUUUUUUAAAAAAAACCUUCCUAUAAAUACAUCUUCUCCCUUUUCAUUUUUUCAUCAAAUUCUCUCUAUUUCUCUCUCUAUUUCUCUCACAUUCUACAAUAUUUCAAUUUUUUUUAUUUUUCCCUCAAAUUAUACAAUAUUGUUGGUGGUGCAAAACAAGCAUUGGUGGCUCCAAGAGUUCAAAUUUGCUAGGAAUUUCUGCAUCGGUUCUCUAAUUGAGUAACAUACUUCACCUCUACUACUUUAUUUUUUUGUUACAUUUUUUUUUAUAUUUAUUACUUUAUUAUUUUUGGCAUAAUAUUUUAUCAAUAAUUAUAAUAUGACAACAAGUGCUUCUUCAUCUAGUCCAUGUGAUGAAAUAUCAUCAAACAAAAAAUUUACUUCAAAUAUAUGGAAUUUUUUUGAUAGAGUAGAAAUAAUUUUAGAAAAUAAUAAAAAAGAAAUAAAAGCAAAAUGUAAAAUUUGUAAUAAAUUUCUUACUGGUGGCUCAAAUGCAGGCACAAGUCAUUUAAAAAGACAUCACGAAAAUUGUAAAACUAAAAAUAAUGUAGAUAUUAGAAAUUAUAUGCAAUUAGGUAAAAAUGAAAGUGGAAAUUUAAAAACAUUUUCUUAUGAUGAAUCUAACUGUCGUGAAGAAAUGAUUGAUUAUAUAAUAAGAGCAGAACAACCUUUCAACAUGAUGGAAACUCAUGAUUUUGUAGGAACAAUUCAACGAGGUAUUAAUCCUCAAUUUAAAGGUUGGUCUGGAAAUACAGUUAAAAGAGAUAUUAUGAAAAAAUUUUAUACACAAAAAGAAAUUUUAAAAAUUUUUUUUGCAAAUUUUGAAGGAAAUAUUUGUUUAACAUCUGAUAUUUGGACAUCUUUAACUCACACUGGUUUUUUAUGUAUAACUGCUCAUUACAUUGAUAAUGAAUGGAAAUUAAAUAAAAGAAUAAUUUCAUUUAAAUUAAUAAAUGCUCCACAUAGUGGUAAAAAUAUAGCAGCUUUAAUAAAUGAAGAAAUUAUAAAUUUAGGCCUUCGUGAUAAAAUAUUGACAGUAACAUUAGAUAAUGCUGCUAAUAAUGAUGCAGGAAUAAAUAGACUAAAACUAUAUUGGCAAGUAAAAGAUGAUCAUGCUAAAAUAUUUCAUGUGCGUUGUUGUGCACAUAUUUUAAAUUUAAUUGUAAAGGAUGGAUUAAAAAAUGUUGAUGAUACAUUGGAAAAAAUUAGAGGCAUUGCAUAUAGUAUUAAUAGUUCUCAAGCAAAACAUGAAUUAUUUUUUGAUUGUUGCAAAAUGUUAAAUAUGAAAAGAAAAAAUAUAAAUUUGGAUAUGGCCAUUAGAUGGAAUUCCACAUAUAAACUUUUACAAAAUAUUACAAAAUAUAGAAAAGUAGUCGAAUUAUAUGAAAUACAAUUACUUAACAAUGAUUGUGAUGCAGAUAUUGAUGCAUUAAGUGAUUAUGAUUGGCAUGUUGCGGAUCUUUUAAGAGAUCUUUUUGAAAUUUUUGAUACUUCAACAAACAUUUUUUGUGGUGUAUAUUAUCCAACUUCAAAUCGAGUUAUUAUGCAAAUAACUAAUAUUUUUAUUGUACUUCAAAAAUAUUUAAGUUUUGAAAUAUUUAAUGAUACAAUAUUUGCAAUGAUAGAAAAAUUUAGAAAAUAUUGGGGAGAAAUACCUUUAAUUUUUUAUAUUGCUUUAAUUGUGGACCCUAGAUUGAAAUUUGAAGCUUUGGAUGAAUGGUUAACAAUUAUUUAUUUUAAUGACCAAAUAAAAAUUGAAGAAAUUAAAAAUGAAAUAAAUUCAUUAUUAUAUAAUUUAUAUAACUAUUAUAAAGAAAAAUAUGGUAAUGAUAUUAAUACUAAUAAAUUACCACCUACAUCUACAAACUCCUCAUCUUUUUAUAAAGGAGCUCUAGAAAUGUUGAAAAGUCGAAAAAAGACAACAAAUAGUUCUCCAAAUAAUACAUCUGAUUUAGAUAAAUAUCUUAAUACUGAUAUAAUUCCAUUUGAAGAUUUUGAUAUUUUAAUAUGGUGGAAAUCACAUCAACACAAAUAUCCUGUGCUUUCUAUAAUUGCUCGUGAUGUACUAACAGUUCCUGUGAGUACAGUUGCAUCAGAAGCUGCUUUUAGUGCAGGUGGAAGAGUUAUUAGUAAAAAACGAUGCAACUUAGCGCCAGACGUUAUUGAAGCAGGGAUAUGUGUAAAAGAUUGGGAAAUUGCAGAAAAAAGGAUGUACGAUUCCAUUCGAGAAACAGAGAUGCUUGUCGAUAUGGAAUCUUUAAAACUAUCAAGAUCUUCAUGGAUGCAUGAUAAUUCGCCAUCACCGCCAGAAAAUAAUGACUAAAUGUAUAUUAUAUUUUUAUUUUUAUUUUUUGUGGUUGAAAAAUACAAAUGAUUGACAAAUAAAUAGGUGCCAACCUAGUUGGGAUGUAUUUAUUUUGUAGUGAUGUAAAAUUUUCCCACAUUUUUAAAUGUAAUUAUACAUUCAAUGAAUAAAAUUUUGAAAUGAAUAUUUUUUUUAAUACUUUUUAUUUUUGUAGUUUUUUUUUUUAAAUGGGCGGGCCUAAGGGCGGGCCUACGGGCCGGGCCUACGGGCCGGGCCUACGGGCCGGGCCGGGCCUAAUUUUAGGCCCGCGGCCCGGCCCGCCCAUAAACGGGCUCGGGCCGGGCCGGGCCUAAAGCGGGCCGCGGGCCGCGGGCUUUUUGGAGACCCCUAAUCACCACACAGGGGAUGUGAGCAAUCUUGGGCCAAUCAUCUCCUUCCUCCUUCGAGUACCUUUGUGUUAGAUGUGGGCAACGCCACGCAUGCAGUCGAGAAAGGGUGUCAGGCAAUAGUCCUUCCCUUGGCAAAAUCGACCGGAGCUUAGGGCAACUUUCGAUUCCUAGUUGUUCAAGAGAGGUGAGGGUUUGGAGAGACAGGGAGGCUAGGGAUUCCAGAUUCUGGAAUUCUGAAAGGGAAAGGAAGGUGAUAAUUGUAGGAAAAGGAAUCGAGUGGGGGUCAUCCGAAAAGGAAGUUGCAUCUGGAAACAUGCCUCUAAUCCAGAGGUGUUUAAGAGAGGUGAGUCUGGAAAGGCCCCAUUGGGAUAGGGGGGUCUUGAUAUUCUUGCAGUUAGAGAUCUCGAGCCGUGUAAGACGGGUGAGCUUUUUUAUCUGAGGAAGCAACAAUUCCAGAUUUUCAAAAUCUGCAAUACGUAGAUUUGUGAGGGUGUUGAGGCAAUCUGGUAGGGUUUUGAGAUUAGGAUACCUCCAGAGGGUUAAAGAUUGAAGUGAAUUAUUAGUAGAGUGAAACAUCUCCUCUGAAAUUGACUCGAGGUGUUCACAAUCCCAAAUGUCAAGUCCCUCAAGGGUGGAGGGAAACUUGCCUCUUGGGAAGGAUGUGAGAGAUGAACAAUGACAGAUAGCCAGGCUUUGAAGAGCAGCAGCAUAUGUGGAAUCGUAGUGCAUUAUUCCCUCUGGUAGAGACUCCAGCUUUUCACAAUCACUUAUGUAGAGUGCCUUGAGAGUGAUGGGUAACCUACCUCUCGGAAAACCAAUCAAAGAGGGACACAUAUUUAGACUUAAGUAUUCAAGGGCACACAUGUCCAUGGUGCUGGUGGUGGCGAUGGAAUUGCAGUGCAUCAUUCCUUCUGGAAGAGACUUGAGAUUUUGACAAUCACGUAUGGUUAGUUUCUUAAGGGUGGUGGGUAAUUGCCCUUUUGGAAAGCAAAUGAGAGAUGGACACUUCCAUAUCCUUAAGCAUUCAAGGAGACACAAGUUGUUGUCAGUACUACCGUUCCUCAUCUUCAACAUCAUGCCAUCAGGUAGACGCUUUAGACCUUUACAAUUAUUAAGAAAAAGAUUUCUCAGCAUUGGUGGGAAACCUACAUCUGGAAAGAAGAUUGUCAAUUCUUCAAGGCAUGUUAGACUCUGCCAUCCAUUUGGAAGCCUCUCUAGUUUAUCACGUUUAAUUAUUUCCAAAGACUGAAGAUUGCAUCCCAAGGAUACAAGUUGAUCACAAUCUCUAAUCUCAAGAGAAAGAGAGUUUUUUGAUCCAAAACCAUCCUCCCACAAAUAUUCGAGUUCUUCACAUUCUGAUACUUCCAAAACCCGAAGCCCUUGCAAAAAUUGCACAAGUCCUUCAUGCAAUUUUACAAGCCUUGAAAUCCUAGAAAUUGUUAACCUGGUGAGUGAGGUGAGGUCAUUUCCACUUCUCAAGACCGCCUCAUUACAUCCUCUUACUUGCAAUUCCCUCAGCAGUGGAAGUCUUGAAAGUGGAGACUCCAAUUUUGGACAAAAGUGAACAGAGAGCUUUGUAAGAGAAGGUAGGUAAGUGGGUAGUUUCAUAAUCAAUUUGGGGCAAUACUUAAUUAUAAGCUCAUGGAGACAAGGGAAUAAUGACUCUGUUGAGGAAGACCAGUCCUCCCAGUGCUCCCAUUCUGACAUGCUCUCAAAAUGUAGAGACUCUAGUGAUGGGAAAAACUUACCUGCAGAAACACGAGUCUCUCCAUAAAACUCUGCACCCACUUUUUUUACUCCAACCAUUCCUUGGAUCCUCAACUGUUUGAGCGAUGGCAACUGCCCCAAGCAUGGUAAAGACGUGCACUUUCUGCAAUCUAUGAGACUUAGAUCCACCAUCUUAGAGAACAAGGCAUCCCCUAUCCAACGUGGGAAUUUUGGACCACCAUACAACUGAAUGCAGAGUUUGUUCAGAUUCAAACAACGUUGUAGAGAGUCAAGGACAUCCAUUUGAUUCCUUUCAUUCCCUGAACCAUCCAACUCAGAACUCCACUGCAUUAUCAAGCUUUCAAGGUUACGCUUUAAUUUUAAAUCGGCAUCCCUUGCAUCUUGAAUAUUCACCACAUUUUCCAAUUUCGAAAUGCAAAGUUCUCCUCGCAGAUGUGACACGUCCUUCAACUCUUUGAUUGUCAAACCUUUGUUUUUGUCCACAAUGAAAUUAGACAAUAUCCGCAAAUCUUUUAGUUUGUCAAUUCGUAUAGGCAUUUCUUGUAAUUUUAUUGCACCGGCAACAUCAAGAUGUCGAAGAUUGAUUAGGUUAUCGAUGCUAAUAGGCAACCUGAUAAGCUCUUUACAACAUGAUAAUUUCAAUGUCUGAAGGUAAAAAAGAUUACCAAUUGAAUCGGGUAACCAUUUUAUACUAAUGUAGGAUAAAUUAAGGUAUCUCAAAUGUUUCAACUUACCAAAUGAAUCCGGUAUCUCACUUAUCAUGUAAUUAGUCAAUGAGAGCACCCUUAAGUGCCCUAACCUUGGUAUCAAUUCUUCAAGCACCUUAUUACUUAUGAAGUGAUCAAGCCAUGUUGGUUGUUCAUCAAUCGGGAAAGCUAUGAAUGUGCGCAAGUGCUCCUUUUCAUGAAACCUUUCAAAAUUUUUAAAGAUAUCAUAAUGAUGAUGGAUGAAUGAUGAAUGACGAGCAUUUUUCAAAAAUGGGGCAUUGCAAAUCAUUCCACAACUCAUCAUCCAAAUGCAAGCAUGUGUCUCCAGCAAUAGAAUUAGCUAGACCGUUAAUAAGAUCAUGCAUAAUGAAUCAUGAUUUAUUGCUGCUCGACGAUUGGAAAAAUGACCUUGACAAUAGUUCACAAAAAUAAUCAUCACCAAGAUCUUCCAUUUUCUCAUCCUCAUUUGAUUGUUGAAUUAACCCCUCCGCCAUCCACAAGAGGAUUAGCUCUUCCUUCUUAAACUCGUAAUCUUGGGGAAAUAAUGCGCAAUAAGCGAAACACCUUUUUAAAGUGUAUUUCGAAUUUAAAUUAUUGCAAGUGUAUUUGCUUGACUAACCUUUUGAAUUACUCAAAUUUAACAAGUUGCAAAUAGGUCCCUUAGCUAAUCUUUUAAAUUAAUCUUGAUGUUGACAAGAAUCUUGCCGACCAUAAUUAUAAAAAGAGAAAUAAUUGAAGCUAAGUUGACCUAAUCUAGUUUAAUAAAUUGCAAGUCGGUGCCCUUACCUAAUCUUUUAAUUUAAUCUUCAUAUUGAUAAGAAUGAAGCCGACAAUAAUUAUAAAAACAAAAAGACGACAAGUUAAUUCUAUUGACUAAUUUUAUUAACUCAAAUUUAAUUAAUUACAAGUAAGUUUUCUUAAGUCUUAACUAACGUUUAAAUUAAUCUUGAUAUAUAUAAGAACCUUGCCAACUGUAAUCAUAAAAAAGAAAAGGCCGACAAACUAAUUUAAUUGACUAAUUUUAUUAACUUGAGUUUAAUAAAUUGCAAGUAGGUUAAUCUCUUACCUAACCUUUUAAAUUAAUCUUGAGAUCAAUAAAAAUUAUAAAGAUCAUAAUUAUAAGGAGGAGAAAAAGGCAAACUAGUUUGAUAUUUUUAAGGGCUUAAGCUAAAUUUAUACCUUUUAUACAAGAGUUCCUAUUUUUAUAUAAACGUUUUUAUCACUUUUUGUUUUUAAAAACAAAAAAUGAGAAGUAUAUCUAAACAAAUACUUAAUAUUGAAUGGUAUAAACUCCUACUCAUUUAAAUGAAAUAAAGAGAUAUUUUCAUUUAAGAUAAAAAAAAAUGUAAGGAUAAAAAAUUAAAAAACUUUUUAACUUCUUGUACUUUAUUAUUACAUUUUUUUCAUUAGAUGCUUUAAAUAUUUUUUAUCAAAUAAAAUUAUAAUGCUAUUGGUCGAGGGCUAAUUAACUUUGUUUAAGCGAGAAAGAUAUAGUUAAGAUUGGGGUCGAUCCACAACUAAAAGAAGAAUGAAAUAAAAAGUAGGAGAUGAAUUGAUCAAACCAAUGUCCCAAAAAUAGUCCUAUGCAUGGCUCUACUUGAAUAUCUAUGAUUAUGAUUAUUAUUAUUAUUAAACUAAUCUUAACUUUAAGUUAAAGAUAAUUUAAAAAUAUAUAUAACUUCAAAAAUUAUUUUCAAAUCUAGAGAGUUAUUUUGAACUAGCAAUUAAAAGAUACUUCUUCAAAAUCAUUUUUUCUUAUUAUACAUUUUAUCAUCGAGAACCGUUUCAAACCAUCUUUUUGGUUUGCUUUCACAAAAAUGGUUUUUUCCCCCUCCAAAAGAGCUAUCAAUGGAAGCGUUAUAGGCUAAAACCGUAUUUAUGAUAAUCAAUUCCAAUGGAUCCUAUAAGUUAUGCCAUUUUUAUGAAGUUUUUCUUUGGUUUUUAAUCUUUGUAUUAAUGCAUCAAUAAAUGUUUUAUUAAAGAAAUUACUAGUAUAAUAAAUGAUACAAGAUUGUACGUGGGUUCAUGUUGAUAGGACAAUGAGAUAAAAAAAUAUAAGGUGAAUACAAAUCUCCAUGCAUAAAUGAAGCAAUUAGCUUGUUCAAUAUAUUUAGCUUGAUGUAAAAUUUCCUUUUUAUUUUCCAAAUUCUUUAUAACAAUUGGCUUUCCCUCGUAGUACAAAAAAAAUAAAAAUCCUCCUUGCAUUAAUUUUUCUCCUAAAACAAUUUUUUUUAAAAAAAAUUAACUUUUCAAAAAUUAAAAGCUAUUAAAAACAUCUGCCUAUAAUAACCUAUAAGUAAAAGUUCCUUCAACUAGCCUAUUACUUUUUUGAGAGUUCAUAUGAAUUAUGUAUGGCCCACAGUUGGACUUUGAAGAGUUUCAAAGCAAUUUAGUUAAAAGAUAACAAAAAAAAAAAAAAUGAUAUGACAAAUAGUGAAAAUCACUUUGGAUUCCAAUAAUAUUUUCUAUCAAUAUAAUAUCUCAAUACAAUGUCUCCUUGGUAGGUUUAGUAUGAAAAUGAAUUAUUUUAUGAAUAUGACUUUGGAUUCCAAAUUUUGAACUUUCUAAUGCCUUAACAUAGUGGUAGGUGUCACACCCCUGAAGGUCACACCAAAUUUUUCACAAGUGCGCGGUGCUAAGGACCCUUCCUUAGCCAACCUUCCUUCCCAGCGUUUAGAAAAACAGAGUAAAAGCACAACAACAGUAAAUCAAUAGGGACACAAACGUUUACAAGAAACCUUUCCCAACUUGUAUUAAUUCACUCUACAAGACAAAAUUGUUCCUCUGAACCAGAGUACAAUGCUCACACCCAAGCAUUACGACAAGAACCCUUUUCCCCAAAUUCUCUCUCUCUCCGUUUCAAGGCUCUAGGAGCCCUUUUAAAAGACUUAAGCUGCACUUACAAAUUUGAAUUUCCAAAUUCAAAUGUUGGAGCCAAUAUGGUGGUUAUGCAACUAGCCAGAAUCACCCAUAACUGCCUUGCAUAACCACCCACCACCCAGAUAGUGGCCUGCACAUGCCACCCACUUGCACCAGCCAUCAGCCCUCAGCCAACUACAAGUCAAAUGACAGCUUGACUUAGUCACUUGCUGUCUGAGCUAGCUGCCACUAGCUAGCUACACUGCCAUCUUCUCAAGCCCUGCUCGCUAAGCUGCUGGAGAGUCCCCCUAACAAGCUGUCUCCUUCCCCGCAAGGUGCCUCUUGUGACUGGGUGCCCAUCAGCAUGUCUUUGAUCAAGGCCUUCUAAGCCAGGCAGUGUGCACCAACCAGCUGACCAAGCGUCUGGUGCAUCAGUGUGCCUUCCCCACACUAAUGUGUGAGCCCAUGCCAUGUCUAAGUGCCCAUGGCUUGGGCUUGUUGCUUGCUUCCCUUGUCAGAUCCAGCUUCAUAGCAACGAGCCAUGGCAUUGCGCCCAUGGCUAAUCCCUCUUAGUGCACAGGGCAUUGUGCCCCGGUGCUGUGCGUAGACAUCAUGGUGCGAGUCAGCUAUUGCUUGGUGCCCCAUCAGACCAUGGCAUUGUGCCCAUGGUUUCAUCAGCUGGCUCACCGCACAAGUCUUAGGCACUCUCGUGCUUGCGCGGGAAGGAGGUAGGCCGCACCAAGCCCCAUGCCGUUGUGGCCAUGGGGUACACACCACACAUGUCGUGGAGCCCAUGUGUGCAUGCUCAAGUCGCAUCCGUGUGUCCUAGGCACGCCCAAGGCCGUGCCAUGGUGUCCCCUUGGUGCAGUCAAGGCUUUCCUUGGUGCUCUCUCCUUUGAGUCACCUAACCCCCCCCCCUUAAAGAGCAAUACGGGUCGUUUUCAUUGUUUCUGGAGGAGACAUUAAUAUGCCUGAGGAGACAUAAUGGAAUAAUAAAUAAUUAUAAAUUAAAAUUCCAAAAGUCUCUCAGCCUUCAUCUGCACCACCUAAGUCAGGUGCGCACACGAUGCCCAUCUGGUGCGCACGCGAUGCAUGUCUGGCUCGCCCGUAGUGCGCGCACGGUGCCCAUCUGGCCUGUUCACAAUGUGCGCACGGUGCGCGUCUGGCUCGCCCGUGGUGCGCGCGCGGUGCACGUUUGGCUCGCCCACGGUGUGCACGUGGUGUGUAUUUGGCUCACCCGUAACCUCUCACAUAGCCCCUAGAGUUUGAACCACCAAACCUCUAGGAUUUCCUUGCUUUCAGCCUAGGCUCUCAUGGGUACAAGGCCUAUCCAUGAGGCCUUUUCCUCCAUGGUUAAGUCAAGAGGCUAAGGGGCUGACAGUAGGCCUUAUAGAAAAUGAAACUUGGGAAAAAGUAUAGUAUGGACAUAAUUUUUGACUUAGGAGGUGAUGUUACAACACCUUCAAUUAAUUACCUUGAAAAUGAUAUGUUAUUGUAUUGAAAAUGAUAUUAAAUUUAAUGAAGACAUAUCUAAUAAAAAUAACACCCGUUUUUUAAAACAAUAUUAUGAUCUUACUAUUGUGUCAUGUUGGAUCAUAAAAAUAUCACCCAUUUUUUAAAACAAUAUUAUGAUGUUACUAUUGUGUCAUGUUGGAUCUCAUUUGGAAAACAAUUUAAUUAUGUUGUGUCAUAAUUUUUUUAAAAUUUAUUCCAUUUUUCUUUUAAUUUUUGAAGCAUGCAAUUGGAGUUGGUCUAAACUUUGAAUAGUUGGAGCCAAUUUCAAUGCCUUAGUGGGUCUAAAAGAAAAAAAGAAAAGAUUGGAAAAUUGAAGUGGAAUAUGGAGACAAAAUUUUAAAGGCUUGAAGUGAUGUUACAGCUUUCCAAGUAAUUACCUUGAAUGUGAGAUGUCAUUAUAUUGAAAAUUCAUAUUAAAUCUCAUGAGGUAACUAUAGGAAUUGCCAUACAUAGAGACAAAUAAUAAAUAUAUCUCACUUUUUCAAAAUGUUUGUGAUCCUAAUUAUACAUUGCCUUUAUAGUGGGAUGAAUGCAUCUUCACUUAAAGUCUUAUUCUAAACAUAUUUUUAGAAUUUUCUAGGAAUAUGUAAAGAAAACUUUAUGAUAAGUAAUUUCUAUCUAAGACGGGUAAAGUCUAAUAUGAUUUGUUCACACCAUUCAAAUCCAACACAUUUUUUUAUAAAUUUGAAAUGAGUAUAAUUGUAUUUGAAUAAAAAUAAAUUGUUUUUAGGUCAACUUUCAUAACAAACAUUUAACUCAAAUUGACUUAUUUAAUAAUAUUAAUCUUAAUUAUAACUUUAACUUAUUUAACUCAUAUUUGACUCAUUUAAAAUUUGAUUUUCAAUAGUGACAUCAUAAUUGAGUUAUAAACAUGUCAGUUUAGGACACUAACCAUAUAAGAUCAUACAAUGUUAAACUCAAUUUGACUAUUAAAUAACAUCUAAUUAUUAUAAGAGUUAAAUAGGUUACAAUGUAUUACUUGGUUAAUAAUUAGAUUGUGUUUGAGUUUGUAUUUUUAAUUAUAAUUUAGUUGAGUGUUUGAUCUACGUUACCAACAUGAAUUAUCACUCAUAUUUCUAUUGCAAAACCAAAGAUGGGAUAAUUCUUAGUUUUGAUGAUAAUAAAAGAAGGUUCGACUAAAGUUUCAUCUUGAGUGUGACUAGGCAAGAUGAUUUUUAAAGUAACAAUUACAAAGAUAAACCAAAACAAAAGAAAAAAAAGAAAGAAAAGGAAGACCUCAAAGAGAAGAGACUUCAAAAAUUUUUAUAAGAUCUCUUUGUAAGGUUGUUGGUGCACUAGAAUUUACAUGCAUUUUAUUCAAGCAUCAAAGAUCAUCCUUGUGCGAUUUUGUUUUAAAUUUUUUUAUAAUUAGAUGAUUUCAUGUUUUUAAUUAAAACCUUAUGCCAAAUUUUUUUCUAAACUUUUUAAAAGGGUUGCAUGAGUUGCUAGAGGUUUGAAACCUAAAACCUGAGUAUUUGAGUACUUAAUAGUGCAACCGGUCAAAAGUCCAGGGAAUUGAUUAAAUCAUUUAGGUUCAAUCAAUUGAGGGGUGUUUUUACACACGCUUUCUCUCUUUCUUGGUCAAGACUUUGCCUUUCAUGGUCAAAGUCUUGAACCCUAACGAACACUUACUAAAAGUAUUAAUUGCUAAUGAUUUUAGCAUUAAUUGCUAACGGUUAGUGAAUCAGUCAAAUCGGAACUUGACUGGUUGACCCCCUAAAUGUGCCUAACAACAAGUUUAGCCUUUCUACUUCUACAUAAAGGUUCCAAUCUUCAUUGUUGGUAAGUCUAACAUUCCCAAGUCUUUUAUGAACAGUAUUUGAGCCUUGGUGGAGUGUUUUUUAGCACACCUUGUUUCAAAACUUGCAUAUCAUUAGUUCACCAUUAAUCUUAAUUUAUCUUGUAUCAUUUGAGCUUAAAUUUGUACUAGGAAUGUGUGAGAUUAUCUUUCCUAUCAUUUUGUGUAAACCUUUGUAAGGGGAGAUUAAGUGUGGGGUAUUACUUAAAGGAAAAUUUAAGCAUGAGGUAUCACUUAGUGUUUGUCAAGUGUGGGGUAUCACUUAGGAAAUUCAAGAGUGAGGUAUUUUUUGAAAAAUUUGUAAGUGUCCAUUGGAGUCAGUUAAUCUAAUAGUAUGAUUAGAAACUUUAGAUUAGUAGAACCUCAAGUUUAGGAUUGAAGUUAUAGGAGAGUGAACAUAGAACGAGUUGCACCAAACCACAAUAAAAAUAUUGUGUUUGUAUUCUCUCUUCCCUAAUCUUUUUAAUUUGUAUGAAAUUACUUUUCAUUGUAUUUAUUGUAUAUUUGCAUAUAAUUGUCUUUUGUAUUCAUGUAGUUUAAGUUUGCAAAAAGAAACCAUCACCCUAUUUAUCCUCCCUCCCCCUCCCCUUCCCCUUCCCCCCGAGGGUGACUACCUUAGGUUAAUUUAGCAAAAAUCAUAACAUUUACAAAUAUAUUAUUUGCUUAUUAUAGUUAAGAAAAAUGCCAAGAAAAUUUAUCAAAAAUCAUAACAUUUACAAAUAUAUUAUUUGCUUAUUGUAGUUAAGAAAAAUGCCAAGAAAUUUCAUUGAUAAAAAUUUCCAUGAUAAAUUCUAAAAACCACUUUAAUUCCAAUUAUCUUUUUCCCAAUGCAAUGUCUCAAUGAUUCUAGGAUGAAAAGGAAUUUUUUCAUGUCAAUAUGACUUUGGAUCCCAAAUUUUAAGGCAAUUUCAAUGCCCUAGUGGUGGGUCUAGAAGAAAAUAAAAAAUGUGGAAAUUAAAGUGGAAUAUAGACACAAUUUUUUACUAAUUGUAAGAUGAUGUUACAAUACCUUAUGUAGUUACUAUGAAAGUGACUUUGGAUUCCAAAUUUUGAGCCAAUUUCAAUGCCACAAUGAUGGGUCUAGAAGAAAACAAAAAAUAUGAAAAUUAAAGUAGAAUAUAGACACAAUUUUUUACUUGUUAAGUAAUGUUACAAUGCCUUAUGUAAUUAUUUUGAAAGUGAGAUAUCAUUGAAUUGAGAAUUGAUAUUAAAUUUGACCAACUAUCAUAAGGAUUUGCUUUCAAAAGAGAGAUAAGUAAUAAAUAUCUCUUAUUUUUUGGAAAAAAAAAAAUUAUCAUACUAUUAAUGUGUUUAAUUUUAUUUUUUUUAAAUAGAGAUUGUUAUAUUUUUUUGUAAAAAUAAGUUUCCUUAUAAAAUAAGAAAAAGUGGUAGAAGUAUUUCUAUAAAUAUUUUAUUAAGAGAAAAAGCUAUAACAUGAAGAAAAACAUGUAUAGUUUAUAUUUAAAAGAUAGUGAUAUGGGAAAGAGUGGGAAACAUUUCUUGGAAUGGGGACAUAUGAUUCAAGUAUAGAUACAAAGAACAAGGAAAUAUAAGAUGUUUUAAAUUAAUUAAUUAUAUCUUCUUUUUUUAAUCUUUUGUAGUAUUGUAUAUAGUAAUAGAAGAUGAGUUAUCAAAUGCGAACUUUCAUGUAUAUAUGAUGCAAUUAACUUGUUCAAUAUAAGCACCUUGAUGUAAAAUCUCAUUUUUGUUUUCUAAAGUCUUUAUGACUAUUGGUUUUUCUUUUGAGUGCCAAUAAAUAAAAGAAAAAACCCUUCUUUUUUGUUUGAAGAAAAAAUCUUUAUUAAUCCAAACCCUAUCAACUUAUAUAUGACCUAUUGCAGGAUAAUGAAGUUUUUUAAAGUAAUUUUAAAGACAAAAAAGAAAAUUUGAUAUGAUAAAUGAUUAAAACCACUUUAGAUUCCAAUAGUAUUUUCUAUCAUAUAACGUCUCAGUGAAAUGUUUCAUAACAAAAUGAAUUAUUCUAUGAAUAUGACUUUGGAUUCCAAAUUUUGAACUUUCUAAUGCCUUAACUUAGUAGUGAGUCUCAUAGAAAAUGAAAGUUAUGGAAAAGUAGAAUGUGGACUCAAUUUUUGACUUAUAAAACUGAUGUUACAACACCUUCAAGUAAUUACCUUAAAAAUGAUAUGUCAUUGCAUUGAAAAUGAUAUUAAAUUUAAUGGAGAGAUAAUUUAUAAAAAAUAUCACUAAUUUUUUUAAAAAGAAUAAUGUGAUCUUACUAUCGUGUUAGGUUGGAAAAAAAUUUAUGUUGGAGUUAAUUUUUUUUUAUUUGUAUUUCUUUUUAUUUAUUUAUUUAUUUUGCAUAUUGUAAGGUCUCAAACUCGUUUAGAAAUAUGAACACUGAUGAAGAGUUAGAAAUUUAAAAACAUUAAAGGUAUGGUUAAAGUUAUUUUUAGAUAGUUGAAAUUGCAACCAAAAAAACAAGAAAAUGAAAGAAGUUCAAAUUUUAUUUGAUUAUCUUAAAAAUAUGAAAGAAAUUACAUAUAAUGAAAAUUGUUUAGAGUUUUAUAUACUUUUAAUAUUUACUCUUUACAGAAAAGAAAAAAGGCAAAUAAAUUUUUAUGAACUUAUGGAAAAUAUUAAACUUCAGCUUAAUUUUUUUGUUUUUCUUGAUUUUUCUUUCCUUUGUGAUCUUUCCCACUUUAUCCAAACUUUCCAUAGUCUAAACUUUAUACAUGUUUUCUCUUCUUUUUAAUUAAAAAUUUUUAAAUUUUCCAAUUAAAAUUCCAAGAUAGGCUAAUAAAAACUUAAAACUAAUAUUACAUUUUAAACGAACUGGAUCGAUUUGGUAGCCAAUUCGAACCCAAUCAAAUUUAGCCUCUAAUGUGAGGUAUUUGACCCAAACUUAGCUCAAACUCAUUUUUACCGACUAAAGUUAGGCUUAAAUUGACUCAUAGUACUUUUAGUUGAGUUGAUUAGGUUGUAUGAUCAUAACUAGGUUUGGUAAGGUUGAGUUAGUUUGAACCUAUUCAUAAAUGUUUUUUUUUUCUCUUUUAUAUUUAUUUUAUAUCAUAAUUUUAAAAAUUAAAUUGGAUAACUUUUAAACAUGAUAACAAAAAUAAAUAAAUUUAUGUAUAUGUCUAACAAAAAUGAAAUAAUAUAAUUAAAAUUCAACAUUUUUUAAAAAAAACUAAAAAAAAAAACACAAAAUAGGUAUUAUUAUAUAAAAUAAUAUAAAUUAUAAAUAUAUAAAAUUAGGUUUGGGCUAGCUUAGGUUAUCCAAACCUUAGCCUAAGUAGUUUCUCGAGUGUUUGCCACUUGUAAAAGUUUUUGGUAAAUUUUUAUUAAAAUUAAUUUUAAAAAAAGAAAUAAAAUGUUUUUAAAAAAUAUUAAAUGCAUAAUUAAAAUUAUGCUAAUGAAACAAAGGGAAGCAAACAAGAUAAAAAAUUUUCUCUCAAAAGGUGUAGUGUAAUGACUUCAAAUUUUAAGUUUUGAUGGUCAAUCUGCCUUCAAUUAUAAGGAUAAGAAGCUUGUAGAGAACAAAAAAUAUAUAGCAAGUGGAUAUAUAUAGAUAUAACAAAAAAUAAUAUAUAUAUAUAUAUAUAUGCAUGAUUGGAGCCAAAAUAUGUGCUCUAAUGGCACAUAUUCGAUAUGAUUUGUGCACCAAAGGACAUUCAAAUCACCCAACUUGACCUAAAUCAAUGCUAAGGCCCUAGCCAUGGGUUUAAUCUAUACUUUGGAGAUUUAUCUCAGGUUCAAGGGAAGAAAAUUGUGCAAAUUGAAUGACUUUAGAUUUUGAAAGAUCAAGAAAGGGCUAAAUGAGGAAAUAAGUGAGUCAAGACUCAUUGAACGUAAAGAAAGGCAAAACAAGGAUAUCAUGAGGUUGGAGGAUUAUAAAUGACCAUUAUGGAGUAAGAAAGAAGGCAAGAAAGCAUGGGGAAUGAGGCAUGAAGCAAGAUUUAGCUGCAUGGAAAUUUAGAACUCAAAAAUCUGAUGGCAUUAUAUACUCUGACUUUGAGGACAAAUUUGGAGCACUUUCUGGAGUCCAUUAUAUACAUACUAUAUAUCGUUUCGAAUCUCGGGAAGUCAGGAGUCCAACACUUCAAACGGUUUGCAAAUCGGAGCUGAAAUGAAGAAGUUAUGUCCAUUUGAAGACAACUGCACCAAGCUGGAGGGUCAUUUCGAAAUGAUUUCGAAAUUCAACUUAUGAUUUCGAAAUUCAACUUAUGAAUUCGAAAUCCACUUCGAAAUGACACCAAUUUCGAAUUCACCCACUGCCACUUUGAUGUUCCGCCUCCUCUACCCCGAGAAUUGCAUCUAUUCAACUUAUGAAUUCGAAAUCCACUUCGAAAUGACACCAAUUUCGAAUUCACCCACUGCCACUUUGAUGUUCCGCCUCCUCUACCUCGGGAAUUGCAUCUAAAGCACUCCAUCCGCUCUAGGUGGACCCCACACGACUAGAAAUCACCAUUUUAUUAUUUUUAAUCAUUUUUAGGAAAUUAUUUUUGUAAUAAGUGGCCAAUGAGAGUGUGCCACAUGUUAGGUAAGUGAGGAUAUUAUAUAAACUCUCUCAAUUCUAGGUUUUAGGGAUCUUGGAUCUUGGAUCUUGGAUUUUUUUUCUAGAGAGUUUGACAUUGAAGGUGGAAGAAGACGAGAACUUUGGUUUGUUUUCUUUUUCUUCUUUAUUGAAUAUAUUGUUUUUAGUUUCUUUUGAUUCAAAUUAUGAAUUUUUACCCUAUUAUGGAUUGUGAAUGUGACAUCACCCCCAUGAGAGGCUAAGAGCCAACUUGGGGCUUGAAGCAUGAAAACCUAAGGGUUAGGAAACCUAUAGGGACAAUGGGUAAAUUACUAUAACAAUGAGAUUAAUUAUUGGUUGGGUGACAAUUUAUUAUAUUUUUUUAUCCUAUCCUUGUGAGUUCAUUUAGGGAAUGAUACGAUAGGUUAUUACUUGAUACUAGUGAUUCUUGGUAAUUCUUGAUCAUUAGUUAUCCUCGUUUUCCCUACCGUUAUUUGCCCCUAAACAAAGCUAUAAGGAGUAGGAAGGGUUAAAAAGCCAAAUCUUAAAGUGAUAAUCAAUCUCAUUCAUUUGAUGGUUUUAGGAAUCUGUUUGAAAAAGGAAAAAUUAGGUUUCGGAUGCAAUUUUGAGUUAUAAAACCCAACUUGAUCGCGAGUGGCCAAGGAUCCCAAAACCCUAAGAUCAUAUUACUUAAAAUACCCUUGUUUUCUAUAAUUUCUAUACCCUAGGUUGGAUUGUGGAAAACCCCAAACUUGAAUCAAUUGAAUUUAAAAUCAAUAUUCAUUUUCUCUUAUUAAUCCAAUUUCUUUUACUUAGUUUCAUAUUAUUCACAUAUUGUUUUUCACUUAAGGAUUUAAACAAAAACAAUUCAUUUAUCUAGUAUUGACAAUUUUCAUAAGCCAGUCCUUGAGAACGAUACCCGGAAUACUACAAAAGCCGUAGUGACUCUUUCUCUAAUUUUUCUUGACCAGAGUUACUACGUAAAAAGGCUAAGUAUUUUGGUACAAUAGAGAAAUUUCGGUCAAUGCAUCAUACUUUUGUCACAAGCAAACCCACUAGUAAACCUUUAUCAUCUUAUUAUAUAACAAGUGGGUAUACCUAGAUAAAAUAAAAAUAGGUCUUUGUUUAUUAAAUUCAAAAGUUUAUGAUCAUCACUUAACAUUUAACAAAGUGGUACAAAUGAUGGUAAAAAUAGUAGUAUAAUCAAUAUUUUCCUAUAUUGAAUAUUAUAAUUGAUGUUUUUUUUUUUUUUUUUUAUCAAGAAGCAAUUUUAGAGAUAGGUUUUUAUCAAGUAACAAUCUUCAAUGUUUUUUGUCUAUAUUAAUUUACCAUCAUGAUCUCUAAUAUUGUACCAUUGAAUGCAAUUGCAAAACAUCUAUGUAAUUGUUAGUAAAUUUUUUUUCAUGCUCAUUAUACAAUAUUUGUUUUAAUUUUCAAGUUGCAAUUAUAGUCUAAAGGUUGAGGUUCCUAGAUAGUUAUAGCUUUGAUGAGAAGUCUAAUCAUGUUGUUGUUGUUCAUGUCACUUUAAUUAGACCAAGUUCAAUGAUACUUUAGACCAUAUUUAAGGAUCCUUUUCAAAUAUCUAUCUAACUUUUGAUAUGCAAUUUGAAAAGAGGAUGGAGAGAGGAUGGUUGUUCUCCAUAAUCCAUUAAUAAAUAAAUAAAAAUAAUUAUAUUUAGAAGGAAAAUAAAAAAUUAUUAAGAUCAUUAGCAAGUAAUUUUGGUAAAACUUGAUAUUUAACUAGGUAAGAUGACUUUAAGUUAAAUUAAUUGUAUUUAAGUCAUUAAGUCAUAGUUAUUAAUACGAUUUCUCAAAAUCAUUUUUAAAUUUAUUAUUUUAUCAAUCAUACUUGAUAUACUUAAUAACUUAAAAUUAAGUCAUUAAAUUGAUUUAUCAUCACCCUCUAAAGUCUUUUCAAUUUUGUACAUUUAUUUGAUACAUAUUUAAUCAUAAACAAUCAAAAAAGUGCUAUCUCAAAAUUUUUAAUUCAAACUCCUUCAAAGUUAUUCAUGACUAAAAUUCAUUAAUUAAUUUACAUUACAAGCUUUGAAAGAAACUUGUUUUAAAACAUAAAAUUGAUAGAGAUAGUACAUAUUUUAAACUUUUAAUUAAAAUAAAAAGCUCAUAACAAAAUAAUUUGAUGGAUGUUUUAGUAUUUGAAAAGAUUAUGAGGUCGGUGUGGACUUACUCUUGGCAUGCGUACUUCCACAAAUCAGAAAGAACAACCUCUCCAACAACUUCCAUGGUGAUCAGUUUGCAGAGAGAGAAUUGUAGCUAUAAACCAAAGCACUGUGAAAAUAAAUUGGGGAAGCAGAAAGAAGCGUGGGUUGUUGGGUGAUGGCUUAAAUAUUAGAAAGCUUAGAGAAAGAGAAAGUUGGAAGUUGGACUAGUCUUUUGUUUCCAUACCCUUAAAUCCAAUAUGCUGAGUAGGCCAUGUGCUCCACACCCCGUCUAUUGUGGUGUGACUGGUGUCACAUUCAAAUAAACAAAUCGAAAUCUCUACUACAACAUCAUAUUUUAAUGGAUUUAGUAUAACCGAGUGAAGGCAAUUUAUUAAAUUAUUGGAAAUUGUUAAAAUUAUAUAUUUAAUGGAACACUGUUUUUGGAAUUUGAGACUCCCAGACUGCCCAUGUGCAUCCCAUUGUUCGUGUUCUUAGUUUUUUCAUUUUAGUACUUCUAAAAAUUCUCAAAAUUUCAUCAGGCACAUUUUUCAAGCUUACGAUUCUCAUGGCAAUGAUGUAAGUAAAUUAAAGAUUUUACUAAUUUGAACGCAAUUUGAUAAAAAUAAAUAAAUAAAAAUGAAGAUUAUGUAAAAAGGCUUCAAAGAGUUUUAAAGAUUUUUUAAAAUUUUUUUUUAUUUAUUUCUUAAAGAUAAAAGUACUUUCUUCAUUGUAAGACUUAAUAUUUACUUUUUCCAAUUAAAAAAAUAAAUUUAUUUUGAAAAGACAAAUCUAGUUUUUAUAUUGAAUUCAUCUUUUCAAAAAAAAAGUUUUCCAGUGAACUCACUUUAGUAUAAAUUAGGGAAAAGUAUAGUUCUAUUCGGUUCAUAAAAUAAAAAACCCGAUAUUAUGAUAAUUUAAGAAAUAUUUUUGGAAAAAUGCUAUUUCAAUUUUUUUGAACGGUUUUACUUGAAUGGAAAGUCUGAUGCUACAUAUGAUAUUAUGUCAUUGAAAUGAAACUUAUACCAUGUAAUAACUUUUAAUUAACAAUAAUUUAAAUUAAAACCGUAAAUAUUUAAUUUUUUGUUGAUUUAAAUAAAUGUUAUUUAUUUAUUUAUUUAUUUGUAACACAAGUUUUGAAGUUUUAAGACUGACCAUGCAUGUGCAUACCACUGUUUAUUUAUUCACUUUAAAACUUUAGGUGCAUUUUUUAAGCUUAAAUUCACAUGCUAUCACAUUAUCCUAAAUAUGCUUGUACCAUCUAUAAUGUAUCUGGAAUAAGGUGCAUGGGGAUCACGUAGAGCCGGCUGGACUGGACAUAAGUUUUGGAGUUUUAAACUUCCAAUGGCCAAUUAUGUUUUAAUUUUCAUAAUAUAUUAUUAUAUUUUCUUUAUUUGAAUGGAAAAUGGUUUGCUUUGAAAAAACAAGUUUAAUAUAAAAAAAAAUUAAAUUUAUAUUUUACAUUAAAUUAUAAAUUGCAUGUAAAAUGAAUUUAUAAAUUUUCAUAAUAUAUUAUUACGUUUUCUUUAUUUUAAUUUAACGUAAAGUAUAAAUUAGUAUUUUCAAAAGAAAAGUUGAAUGUAAAAGUAAUAAACUAAAACACAAAGACAGAUAUUAAAUUUAUAUUUUCAAAGACAAAUUACUUCUAAAAGCACGGACUUGAUUUUUUUGUGCAAUGUAAAAAGAAUUUUUUAUUUUUUUAUAUAUCAAACUUAUGUUUUAAAAAGACGAGUUAGUAUUUAUUUUGAAUUUGUUUUUCGUAAAAGGUUUCCCAUGUGUACUUCAUAUGAUUUUAUUUUGUUGAUAGGAGAUUUAUAUCAUGUAACAACUUUUAAUCGGUCACAAUUUAAAUUAAUUAUAAAUACCCAAUUCCUUUAUUAUUUCAUAAUUAACUAUAGGUUAUAAUGUGAAAUAAUAUCACACUACAUAAAUAUUAUUAUUAUUUUGCAAAAUUGGAUUAGCACAACUAUUCCCAAUUAGAGUGUCACAUGGCUUCUUUUUUUUAUAUUUAAUUAUUUUUUUAAAUAAUUGCUUUAAUUAGUCAUGGAUUAAAUUAGAGGUGUAAUUUGGACAUAUUCAACUCAACUCAACUCAAUCCAAUUUUGAACUAAGUUAGGUAGUCUUGUUUUUUCAUAAAACAUUAUAAGCUAUUUUUCAAUCCUACAAGAUUUUUUGAGAGUAUUUUCUAAAUUUUAUCAAAUACAAUUUUUUUGUAAAAACAUUUAUUAAGUUAAAAACGCUUCUUAAAAUCACUAUUAAAUGACCAUUAUAUGAUAUUGAGAGAUGAAUAAUUUAUUAUAUUAAAAAUUACUUUCCCAAUUGAACAAAAGGUGUGGCGUUUCUUUAAAAACACUUUUGUAAGUAAUAUUUUUUUUAGCACAUUCUCAAUUAUUUUUAGACCCAAAAUAUGUUUUUUUUAAAAUGUUUUAUAAAAAAAAAAUCUUAAAAUACCUUUAUUUAAAAAUUUAAAAAAAAUCUAUUUUCAAAAAACUACAUUUUAUUUUGUUUGAUAUGGUGAGGAGGAGCAUUAAUCUAUGGCUCCCGAGACUGGGCAUGUGAUGCUGUGCAUGCCAUUGUUGGCUUAUGUAUUUCCGGAAUAUUUAGUUUUGAAAAGUACUGAGAAAAAAAAUAAUAAGAAAAUGGUUGGUAUUCAGAUGGCAAAAAUACACACAAAUACACUGAACAAGUUAAUAACAGGCGGGCUGAGAUUCUAUUGCCAAGAGACAGGUUUGUCAUCCAUGUCAAGAAGUCUCACACUUCAAAAUUGUGGGACUUUGGCAUCAACACAUUUCUGGAAUUGUUUCAGGCUUCUAAAUGGAACGAUUCAGGCACCUUCCCAGAAUUCUUUUAAGAUUUCUAAAUGCCAUCCUGGCGUCUUAGUUGGAGGCCUGCUUUCUUCAAUGCUAAAAGAGGGGGUGAUAAGUUGCUAAAAAUUGCAGUCCCUGUGUACUAGAUGGGCAUUCACCCAUGGACAAGAUCUGCAGAACUUAUAAUAGAAACAUGUAUGUUGCUCUAUCAUCUUCGCCUCCUAUUUAUUCUAGUGAAGAAACAGGUUCCGAAAAAAUAAAAAGUGUUCUUCUUACUCUUUUUUAGUAGAAAAUUAGUUCAUUUCCAGUCCAUUGAAGAAAAAAUAAAUUCUGAACCCAGAAGCCAGGUACUUAAAUUUCUGUUUAACUAGGGGAACAUUGGAAACUUACUUACAGCUUUAGCAUAAGAACAUACAAGAUUCUGAUCAACAUACACUGCACGGUAUUAUGUUGGUCCAGUUCCUCUACUCUGCAUUGCAACAAAGUGUAAGGGGUUUCGUAUUUUCUUCAUCUUCAAAUAAAACAAUCCUUCUCAAUAAAAGAAUAAGAGAAAUUGAGAGCUAAGACCAUUUUCUUUCAUUGUACCUCUGUUUCCUCUGCUCCUUGCUCUCUUGGUCAGGCCAAAUGGUGUGUGGUUUGUCCAUUUCUUCUUGACCCCACAUCAAAAAGCAGCAUCCUGGGCUCUCCCAUCUCUCUAUCCCCUUAUCAAGACAGAAUUUGAUGCACUGCUGUCUUGGAUUCUUCCUAGUCAAAAGGAAGCUUGAAAUAUCUCCACUGCUUCUCUGUUUCUUUGAGUCAAAGGACAGUCUGGUUUUAUCUGUUUCUUCUCAUCAUUUUCAAAAUGCAUCACUGUGAGAUCCACUAACCCAAUACCUGUUUUUCAAAUAAUCAAAAUCAUAAACACCAAGAUGUUUACACAUUCAGGUAACACGUCUCUUGACAAUGCAGGUGUGUUUACGUACACACCUGCAUUCAAAGGAAGUACCAUUGUUCUUGUGCAUUUGACAACAUUCAUUUAGUUAACUCCAAAUUUUAGCAAUCCAGAAUCUGUAACUUCUGCAAAAGUUACCUAGUUGUUCAGGGAACAUGCCCCAUCCAAACUAUCUGUAUUUGGGCUUCAUGGUUGUUUUUGGCUUUGCUUUUCUUUUUCUUGUGGUUGUUACUCCUCUUAAAAGGACUAUUGAUUCAUGAUUCAAUGGAUUAUUUGUUGUUUCUGAUAAAAAUAAAUAAAUAAACUAAAAAAAAAAAGAAAAAGAAAAAAAAAAAGAUUUGAUGAAAAUUUUUGGAGUAGCCAUUCAUCAAAUUGCCAUGAGCUUCUCUCCUUAUUUACAUAGUAUAUCACUAUUGCAGAGUCUCCUACUAGAAGGUUAGGUAAACCCUCAUCUUUAGCAAGCUUUAGUCCUACCAUCAACACUAAAAUCUCUGCUUCAAUGGCUAGACCCACUCUAGCAUUCUUAGGGAAUGCUUUCACUUAUGCCCUUUUAUGAUUUAUAAGUGUUCCUCCAAUUCCCAAUUGUCCUGGGUUGUCCAAGGAGCAUACAUCAAAAUUUAACCUGUUGCAUGGGUUGUUCUCUAUGCAUGGUAAAGAGACCCUUAAAUUUUGAACCUAUCCAAUUGCAUCGAUUUCUUCCUUCAAACUCAAGUUGAGCCUUUAAAUUUUUUGCUUGCUGUCAGAUUGACAUGAUUCUUCCACAACAUGAUGGACCUGGCAGACACUCAGCUUCUGCCUACAGUUGCAGUCUACCUUAUGUGUAACUUAAAGGUUGAGCACCAAGUGCUGAUGUUAUGAGGGAUCAAGGGUGGCUUGUGGAGCAGUCCCCUUUUCAGAGUAUUGCCAACAUUCUAUCAAUUGGUUCGGGUGUUCUGUAACUUUGGGACACCUAUAGUAUCUAGAUAAUCCUGCAAUUCUGGAGAAAACCCUUCUGAUUUGCUCUGUACCCACUAGUCGAGAAUAGUAAAAAGAUUCAGCUGUAAUAAUUUUAUUACUUAGAUUGAAUCUUAAUCAUUAGGUUAGAAGAUCAGGAAAAAGUGUCGUGGUUUUGAAUGUUUGUCUCUUUAAUAAUUGCAGUGUGUAUUGAUCCACAAAGUUUGCAGGAUGACAGCAUGACAGUGGGUAUAUAUGUCAUAUGAAAAAAUUUAAAUAGAGCGACUUGUUUGACUUUACAUAGUUUGCUUGCUUCGGUUGUCUACCUUUAGGUAAUAUCACACCAGUAUCUUUUGAUGGUUGGAAUAUCCUUGCACAUAUGUUACCAUUUUCUUUUCUUCAACAUUGUUUUCUUUGUUUCUUCCUUUCUUGGUCAAGCUAAAUAAUCUAGUGAUUCUUCUUUUGUUCUUCAUCCCAUCAAGAGGCAGCAUCUCAUGCAUCUUUACCUUGGGUUCCUCCCUUUCCUUCCAGCCUAUGGAAAAAUAAUAUCAUUGCUUAGUUUGGACUUCUCUGUUUUAUUUUUUUUUAUCAUUUUGAAAGGCAUCAUGGGAAGAUGUACAAAAAAUGUGUUGUGCUGAAUUAUCCCCUUCUCUACUAACCAAAACAUGUUCUUUCACAAUCAAAUAUCAACGUGUUUAAGCAGCCAAUAAGGCAUAUCUUGACAAUGAGGUGAGAGGUAGAAACAAGAAACAUACUCGUAUUCAAGGGAAGUGUUGUUUCUUCAUUUGCAUUAGACAACAUUCAUUUAGUCUCAACUUGAAAGUGGAUUGCUAGAAUCUAAGCUCUUGCAAAGACACAAAAGUACAUUUAGAAAUCCAAAAGAAGCCUAGAGACCAGUUGCUGUCGGGCUUUGUGGAGCCUAGUUUUGUUUGAUCCGGUUUGAUGACCCGACCCGAAUAAUAUUACAUAGUUUUUUAAUGGGAGAUUUAUUGAGGCUUGUCCAUGGAGUGAAGGCUUGGGCUUUUUUAGGCCCGUUUAGCCCAUUGUGGAACCGCCCUUUGUAAUUAGGUUUUUUUUUUGUGUGGUGUGGUUGUUGUGUUAUAAAGAGAACAUAUUGUAGCCGAAAAAAGUACUUUGUAUUCUUCCCUGAUAAUAGUGAUAUCCCUGCAACUCCGUUGAUAUAGGCAAAUUGCCGAACCACAUAAAUACUGUCUUGUACGUGUGAUUGUUUUUUUUUUUUUUUUUUGCGUGUGUUUUCUCUAUUUUUUGUUUCUCACAGGUUGGGAAUUCAGCUUAAUUCCCUUCAACCGGUAUCAAAGCCUAGGGUUAGGUUUGAGUGGGAGCAAUGACAAAGGAAGCAGGAAAGGCGUUUGGAAUAGAAAAGUUUGAUGGCACAAACUUUGUGUAUUGGAGGAUGCAGAUUGAAGAUUAUCUUUAUGGGAGGAAAUUGCAUCUGCCUCUUUUGGGGACAAAACCUGAGAGUAUGAAGGCUGAGGAAUGGGCGCUUCUUAACAUACAGGUUCUAGGAGUUAUUAAGUUAACUCUGUCUAGGUUUGUUGCACACAAUGUUGUAAAGGAAAAGACCACAAUAGAUCUGAUGAAGGCUUUGUCCGGUAUGUAUGAAAAGCUAUCCGCAAACAAUAAGGUGCAUCUGAUAAAGAAAUUGUUCAAUUUGAAGGUGGCAGAGAAUGCAUCAGUAGCACAACAUCUGAAUGAAUUUAAUACAAUCACAAAUCAAUUUUCGUAUGUAGAAAUUGAUUUUGAUGAUGAGAUUCGUACUCUGAUCGUCUUGGCUUCUUUGCCAAUCAGUUGGGAGACAAUGAGGAUGGCAGUAAGCAAUUCUACGGGAAAGGAAAAGCUCAAGUACAAUGAUAUACGAGAUUUAAUUCUGGCUGAGGAGAUUCGCCGAAGAGAUGCAAGCGAAACCUUAAGAUCUGGUUCUGCCCUAAACCUUGAGACAAGAGGCAGAGGUGAUAACAGAAAUUCAAACCGGGGUAGAUCAAAAUUCAGAAAUUCUAAUCGAAAUAGAAGCAAAUCUAGAUUAGGCCAACAAGUACAAUGUUGGAACUGUGGGAAAAUAGGUCACUUUAGAAGGCAAUGCAAAAGUCCUAAGAAGAAGAAUGAAGAUGAUUCUAUUAAUGCUGUAACAGAAGAGGUACAGGAUGCAUUACUUCUUUUAGUAGACAGUCCACUUGAUGAUUGGGUUUUGGAUUCAAAAGCUUCAUAUCAUACCACUCCACAUUGAGAAAUCAUAUAGAAUUAUGCUGCAGGUGAUUUUGGUAAGGUGUAUUUGGCUUAUGGUUCAACCUUGGAUGUUGUGGGUCUGGGAGACAUCCGGAUAUUGUUGCCCAAUGGGUUUGUUUGGUUACUGGAGAAGGUUCGACAUAUUCCUAACCUAAGAAGGAAUUUGAUUUUUGUUGAGCAACUUGAUGAUGAAGGACAUGCAAUACUAUUUGUUGGUGGUACUUGGAAGGUUACAAAGGGAGCUAUGGUAUUGGCUCAUGGAAAGAAGACCGGUACUCUGUAUAUGAUCUCAUGUCCAAGAGACACAAUUGCAGUUGCUAAUGCAAGUACUGAUACAAGCCUAUGGCACAGCAGACUUGGUCACAUGAGUGAGAAAGGGAUGAAGAUGUUGUUGUCAAAAGGAAAACUACCAGAAUUGAAAUCCAUUGAUUUUGACAUGUGUGAAAGUUGCAUCUUAGGAAAGCAAAAAAUUGUGAGCUUCUUGAAAACUGACAGGACACCGAAGGCUAAAAAAUUGUAACUAGUACACACUGAUUUGUGGGGGCCUUCUCCGGUUGCAUCCCUUGGAGGUUCAAGGUACUAUAUCACUUUUAUUGAUGACUCAGCAAAAAGGUAUGGGUUUAUUUUCUGAAAAAUAAAUCUGAUGUAUUUGAAACUUUUAAGAAGUGGAAGGUCAUGGUUAAGAUAGAAACAGGUUUGAAAGUAAAAUGUUUGAGGUCAGAUAAUGGAGGAGAGUACAUAGAUAGAGGGUUCAGUGAGUAUUGUGCUGCACAGGGAAUUAGGAUGGAGAAGACCAUUCCUGGGACACCACAGCAGAAUGGUAUGGCUGAGCGCAUGAACAGAACUCUCAAUGAACGUGCUAGAAGUAUGAGGUUGCAUGUUGGACUACCAAAAACUUUUUGGGCUAAUGCUGUUAGUACUGCAGCUUACCUGAUAAACUGAGGACCAUCAGUUCCCAUGGAGUUCAGACUUCCUGAGGAGGUUUGGAGCGGUAAAGAGGUAAAGUUUUCACAUUUAAAAGUUUUUGGUUAUGUUUCUUAUGUUCAUAUUGAUUCUGAUGCUCGUAGUAAACUUGAUGCAAGGCUAUAGGUUUUGGGAUGAACAAAACAGGAAAAUCAUCAGAAGUAGAAAUGUAAUAUUUAAUGAACAGGUUAUGUAUAAGGACAGGUCAACUGUAGUGUCAGAUGUUAUAGAGAUAGAUCAAAAGAAAUCUGAGUUUGUCAACUUAGAUGAAUUGACUGAAAGUACUGUCCAAAAAGGGGGUGAAGAAGAUAAGGAGAAUGUAAAUUCACAAGUAGAUCUGAGUACACCUGUAGCUGAAGUUCACAGAUCUUCCAGGAACAUUACACCUCCACAGCGUUAUUCACCUAUUUUAAAUUAUCUCCUGUUGACUGAUGGUGGUGAGCCAGAGUGUUAUGAUGAAACCUUGCAAGAUGAGAAUUCAAGCAAGUGGGAUUUAGCCAUGAAGAAUGAGAUGGAUUUCUUGUUGGGGAAUCAGACAUGGGAACUGACUGAAUUGCCAGUAGGAAAGAAGGCUUUGCACAACAAGUGGGUAUACAAAAUAAAGAAUGAGCAUGAUGGUAGCAAAUGUUACAAGGCCAGAUUAGUUGUUAAAGGGUUCCAGCAGAAGGAGGGCAUUGACUACACAGAGAUAUUUUCUCCAGUUGUGAAGAUGUCAACAAUCAGACUUGUACUGGGAAUGGUGGCUGCAAAAAACUUACAUCUUGAGCAGUUAGAUAUGAAGACAACAUUCCUUCAUGGUGACUUGGAGGAAGACCUUUACAUGAUUAAGCUAGAAGAGUUCAUUGUUCAAGGACAAGAGAAUCUAGUCUACAAACUAAAAAAGAGCUUGUAUGGCCUUAAACAAGCUCCUAGACAGUGGUACAAGAAGUUUGUCAGUUUUAUGCAUAGAAUUGGGUUCAAGAGAUGUGAAGCUGAUCACUAUUGUUAUGUUAAGUCUUUUGACAAUUCUUACAUCAUAUUACUGUUGUAUAUGGAUGAUAUGCUUAUUGCAGGGUCUGACAUUGAGAAGAUUAAUAAUCUGAAGAAGCAAUUGUCCAAAUAGUUUGCAAUGAAGGAUUUGGGAGUUGUAAAGCAAAUCCUUGGUAUGAGAAUCAUUAGAGACAAGGCUAAUGGUACAUUGGAGCUUUCACAGUCAGAGUAUGUGAAGAAAGUUCUCAGCAGGUUCAACAUGAAUGAAGCUAAACCAGUGAGCACACCCUUGGGUAGUCAUUUCAAACUAAGCAAAGAACAGUCACGGAAGACAGAAGAAGAAAGUGACCAUAUGAGCAAGGUGCCCUAUGCCUCAGCUAUUGGUAGCUUGAUGUAUGCUAUGGUGUGUACAAGGCCAGACAUUGCACAUGCAGUGGGAGUUGUGAGCAUAUUCAUGAGUAGGCCUGGAAAGCAGCAUUAGAAGGCAGUCAAGUGGAUUAUAAGAUAUCUGAAGGGUUCAUUAGAUAUAUGUUUUGCUUCACAGGUGCAAGUUUGAAACUGCAGGGUUAUGUGGAUGCUGAUUUUGCUGGUGAUAUCGAUAGUAGAAAGAGCACUACUGGGUUUGUUUUUACUCUAGGUGGUUCAACUAUAUCAUGGGUUUUAAAUCUAUAGAAGAUUGUUACUUUGUCUACUAUAGAAGCGGAGUAUGUUGCAACAAUUGAAGCUGGAAAUGAGAUGAUUUGGCUACAUAGUUUCUUAGAUGAAUUGGGUAAGAAGCAGGAGAUGGGCAUUCUACACAGUGACAGUCAUAGUGCAAUUUUUCUUGCCAAAAAUUCGGCUUUUCAUUCAAAGUUAAAGCAUAUACAAACAAAAUACCACUUUAUCUGUUACCUUGUUGAAGAUAAACUAGUAAUACGUAAGAAGAUUUUUGGAUCUAAGAACCCAACAAACAUGUUGACUAAGGGUGUCACUAUUGAGAAGUUGAAGCUGUGUGCAGCUUCAAUCAGUCUUCUAGCUUGAGGACGGGAGGAUGAAUUGCAGGGAUGAGGGAUUGUUUCUUGGAGGAUAGCGAUUUGAUGUUGGUGAUUGAACUAGUCUCCAAGUGGGAGAUUUGUCAAGUUUUGUGGAGCCUAGUUUUGUUUGAUCCGAUUUGACGACCCAACUCGAAUAAUAUUGCGUGGUUUUUUAAUGUGAGAUUUACUGAGGCUUGUCCAUGGAGCGAAGGCUUGGGCUUUUUGGGGCCCAUUUAGCCCAUUGUGGAACCGCCCUUUGUAAUUAGGGUUUUUUUUUUGUGGUGUGGUUGUCGUGUUAUAGAGAGAAAAUAUUGUAGCCAUCAGAAGUACUCUGUAUUAUUCCCUGAUAAUAGUGAUAUCCCUGCAACUCCGUGGAUGUAGGCAAAUUGUCGAACCACGUAAAUACUGUCUUGUGCAUGUGAUUGUUUUUCUUUUUUUUUUAUGUUUUCUCUAUUUUUUGUUUCUCACAGGUUGGGAAUUCGGCUUAAUUCCCUUUAGUUGCUACUUGUGAAUCACUGUAAUCAGAAACAAUUCCAGAUAAUCCUGCAAUUCUAAACCUUUGAUUUGCUUUGUUCCAUUUUGCCAAGAACGGUUCUAAAACAUUUUUCUUUAUUGAGUUGUUAUGAUUUUAUUAUUUGGAUUUAAUUGUAUUCAUUAGGUUUGUAAAUCACAAAAAUGGUGUCGUGCUUAUGAAUAUCUUCCUCUUUGAUCAUGUAAAAUUGGGAAGCAGUUAUGGAUUACUAUUAUGAUAGCACAAUGUAUUGAUCCACAGUUUGUGGCAUGACAGUUUAAGGAAAUUACAGAAGUGUAGCAUUGAUGGGUAUGUCAUGUGAACAUUUUUCAAUGAAGCUACUUGUCUAAAUUUACAUGGGUGAAUUGUCACACUAAUAUCCUUUGAUGAACCUUGGGUUCUUUUUUCUGUUUCUUCCUCUCUUGGUCAAGCCAAACAAUUUGUCUUCAUGAGGACUUCAUGUUACCAAUAAGCAGCAUCUUGUGUUCUCCUUCUUUUCAUCCCCCUGUCAAGACACAGCAAUUUGAUGCAUCUUUGCAUUGGGUUGCUUCCUUUCCGCUCCCUCUCCUUCCUCCUUGAGGCAAAACCAUAUCAUUGUUUAGUUUUGACUAUGUUCUUUUUAUCAUUUAUGAGAAAUAAAAUAAAAUCAUGACAUAAAGAAAUUAUAUUUAAGUGUUAAUAAAUGAGAAUCGGAUACAUAUAAAUAAAAUUUAGAUUAAUUAUAAAUGAAACUAUUUUUAUUAUGUGGUUGUUUUUAAUGGACCACCAAUUUUUAUUUAUUUUAUUAUAUAUAUAUAUUCCAUAGAAAAAUUACUUUCUAAUACCAUAGAAUCACCCUAAUUUCAAAUUGGGAUUUACUAUCUUAAAUUUUAAAUUUUUUAAAAAUAAUUUUUAAGGACAUGAACUAAAUUUAUAUUUUUUGUUAAGAAUUUCUAUUCUUUAUAUGAAAGUUUUUAUCAAUUUUUGUUUUUAAAAACAAAAAAUAAGUACUUAGAGUGCGUUUGACAAUGAUUUUAAGAAGUAUUUCUAAUAUUUUAAAUACUUAAAAAAUAAAAAAAUUUAUACAUUGAAACAAUUGCAAAAUGCACUUUUAGUAUGUAAUGAUAUUAAUUUCUUCGAAGAGAGAGAUUUACAUUUAAGAUAAAAAUAAAUAAAUAAAACAAUACAAGGAUAAAAAAUCAUUUUUAAAAAAAACUUUUAACUUCUUGUACUUUAUCAUUACACACUUUUUUCAUUAGAUGCUUUAAAUAAUUUUUAUGAAAUAAAAUUAUAAUUAUAUUGAUGGAGGGCUAAUUAACUUUGCUUUGGGUGAGAAAGAUAGAGAUAAGAUUGAAGUGGGUCCACAUCUAAAACAAAAAUGAAAUAAAAAGUAAAGAUGAAGAUAAGGUUGAGGUGGGUUCACAACUAAAAAAAGAAUGAAAUAAAAAGUAUGAGAUGAAUUGACCAAAGCUUAUGCCUUCUUCCAAAUAGUAAAAGCAAAGCCCAAUAGUAUAAAGUGAUGACACUAGUCCUAUUCAAGGCCCCACUUGCAUAAUUGCUACAUCUUUUGAUUUGAUUUUUGUUCAAUUUCACUAAAAUGAAAUCAUUUAUUUGAGCCCAAAAAUUCAAAUCCAAAUCCAAUCCACUUAUUUAUAUACAUUAUUGGCAUGGAAUGAGAAAAGUUAUAAAGUGAGAAAAUUUGAUCAUAUGAUAAAUAGUAAUUUUUCAAAGUUGGAACCAAUCCAAUGCCCAAUGGGCAUAAAAGACAAAGGAAAGAUGUGGAAAUUAUAGUGGAAUCUUGAAACAAAUUUUUGAGGUUUGAGGUGAUGUGACAAUCGUUUCAAGAAAUUGCCUAAGAAUGUGAGAUGUUAUUGCAUUGAAAAUUGAUAUUAAAUCUAAUUGGGUAACUAUAAGAAUUGCUUUACAUAAAGACAAGUAAUAAAUAUAUCCUGUUUUUUUCAAAAAGUUUAUGACCCUAAGUGAAUAAAAUGGUGAAUAAAACUUUUAGAGUAGGAUGAAUGCAUUUCACGUGAGUCAUGUCCUAGAUAUAUAUUUAGAAUUUUCUAGCAGGAUGUCAAGGAAAACUCUAUGAUGAGUGUUUUGUUUCUAGUUAAGGUAGGUCCAAUUUGGUGCAAUUCGCCAACAUAAUUUAAACCCAACAUAUGUUUUAGGGAUUUGAAUCGAGUAAAAUCAUAUUUAAAUUAAAUUAAUCAUAUGAAUCUACAUAACCCGUUUAAUAAAUAGAUUAUUUUUAGGUCAAUCUGGAUAACUCACAUUUGACUCAAAUUAACUUAUUUAAUAAUGGUAUUGAUUAACCUAAUAAUAACUUUAACUUAUUGAACUCAUAUUUGACUCAUGUAAAAUUCGUUUUUCAAUAAGUAUAUCAUAAUUAGGUCAUAAACAUGUCAUAUUAGAAUAUUAACCAUAUUAUUUCAUUCAACAUUUAACUUGACUUGAUUAUGAAAUAACGUCUUCUUAUUAAAUCGGUUAAACCGGUUAUAAUGUAUCACCUAGAUAAUAAUUAUAUUGUGUUUGAGUUUAUGCUUUAAAUUUUGAUUAUUAUUCAUGUCAUGUUUAUGUUGAGUUAUUUAGUGGAGGAUCUAACCUUAGAUAUAACACAAACGCAACCCACUAACAUAAAUUGUCAUCCUCACUUCUACUAAUAAGUAAUUUGUUUAUUACAAUUAAGAAAAUUGAGAAGAUAUAAUUUUUUUAAAAUUUUUAAAUGCAUGAUUAAAGUUAAUUAUAAGUUUUAAAAGUUUUAUAAUUCAUAGUCCAUCCAAACUAACAAAAUAUUAGAAAUCUUCAAUGGUUUUGUCUACAAUAAAUGUGUUGUGCUAAAUUAUCCCCUUCUUUACUAACCAAAACAUGUUCUUUCACAAUCAAAUAUCAACGUGUUUAAGCAGCCGGUGAAGCAUCUCUUGACAAUGAGGUGAGAGGUAGAAACAAGAAACAUACAUGUAUUCAAGAGAAGUGUUGUUUCUUCUUUUGCAUUAGAAAACAUUCAUUUAGUCUAAACUUGAAGGUGGAUUGCUAGAAUAUGAGCUCUUGGAAAGACAUAAGAGAAGGACAUUUAGGAAUCUGAAAGAAGCCUAGAGACCUGUUGCUACUUGUGAAUCACUGUAAUUAGAAACAAUUCCAGAUAAUCCUGCAAUUCUGGACCUUUGAUUUGCUUUGUUCCAUUUUGCCAAGAACAGUUCUAAAAUGCUUUUCUUUAUUGAGCUAUAAUGAUUUUAUUAUUAGGAUUUAAUUGUAUUCAUUAGGUUUGCAAAUCACAAAAAUGGUGUCGUGCCUAUGAAUAUUUUCCUCUUCGAUCAUGUAAUGUUGGGAAGCAAUUAUGGAAUACUAUGAUAGCACAAUAUAUUGAUCCACAUAGUUUGUGGCGUGACAGUUUAAUGAAAUUACAAAAGUGCAUGUAGCACUCAUGGGUAUGUCAUGUGAACCUUUUUCAAUAGAGCUACUUGUUUAAAUUUAUAUGGGUGAAUUGUCACACCAAUGUCCUCUUAUGAACCUUAGGUUCAUUUUUCUGUUUCUUUCUCUCUUGGUUAAGACAAACAAUUUGUCUUCAUAAGGACUUCGUGUUACCAAUAAGCAGCAUCUUGUAUUCUCCUUCUCUUCAUCCCCUUAUCAAGACACAGCAAUCUGAUGCAUCUUUGCAUUGGGUUGCUUCCUCUCCUCUCCCUUUCCUUCCUCCUUGAGGCAAAAUCGCAUCAUUGCUUAGUUUUGACUAUGUUUCUUUUUAUCAUUAUGAGAGAGCAUCAUUGUAAGAUGUACAAGAAACGUGUUGUGGUGCAUUAUCCCCUCCUCUACCACCUAAAAUCUAUUUUACACGAUCAUAAGGACCAAGGUGUUUUAAACAUUAGGUAAGGCAUUUGUUGACAAUGAUGUGAGAGAUAGAUACAAGCAACAUGCCAAUAUUCAAAAGACGUGAUGUUCUUCUUUUGCAUUUGACAACAUUCAUUUAGUCUGAACUCCACAUUUAGGCAACUCAGAAUCUCCACCUUCAUUAGGAUUGCAAGAAGUUGGCUUUUUGGGAAGACAUGGAAAGAGAGCAUCUAGAAAUCUGAAAAAAUUACAACGACCUAUUGCUACUUUUGAAUCAUUCCAAUUAAUAACAACUCCAAAAAAUAUAUACAAAUAUGUCCCUGGGAAAGAGAUGUGUCUUGUGCAUAUGCAACCAUCUCUCUAAUAGACUUAGGGUUGUGCACCCUCAUGGUAGUUUCUUAUAUAUUGCACCAUAUGAAUUGUAGAUAUCCAACUACCAAUAUCACUACACCUGAAUGAACUAGAAGCUAAAGUGAAGUUGACAACCCAUCAUCGAAAGAAUCCUGUAGGAAUACACCAAAAUGAAAAUUUUAUUAACAUAAAUGAAUUCAUCCAAUUAAAGGGUAAAGUUGCCUAAAAAAUUGAAUUGGGAGAGAUAGAAAUAUUGAUGCUUUCAUAGGACUGUGAAAGGGACCAACAAGUGGAACAAACAUUGAAUAGUAAAUGUAAAGCCAUAAAGCUUGUAACUAGUGUCAAAAGCUGCUCCCUAGUGAAGUUUUUUAACAAUGAAGGUAAGUGGAAAAUUCACCUAAUAGCUCUACUUGUAGAAAAUUGCAAUGGUGUGAAACUAGGAUAUGGUGAACUCGUUUCCACUAUUGCAAUGAACCAUUAUGGAUCAAAAAUGAAUCUCACCAUCGGUUUUCACAUAGGAGAUGUGGGCUAUCUUUGGCCCAUAUCUCAAUAUUGGAUUUAGGAGUUAUGUCUCUCAUAUAUGGUUCCACUUGCAAAAUACAAAUGGAGCUUAGCUAAUGACAACACAUUUAGAAAAAUGCAAGAAUUCCAUAGACAUGUUUUGUGCUAUCAUGAAUCAUUCCAAUCAGUACGGAAUCGAAGUGCUAUAAUUUUGAAUUGUCUUAGGGAACAAAUCCUAAUUCAAUCUUGCGGAAGUAAACCAUCUUGAGCACCAACUCAAUUCUGAGUUCUUUAGGAUACUUGAGACACCAAUUCAAUCAAAGAUGCUAGUCGUUUUUGAGGUAAAUUGUCUUCCUCCAUUGAUACUAGGGAAAAUGCUUUUGAAAACCAUUCAUCUGCAAGUUACAAAGGGAAAUGAGAUUAUGUGAUUUGGGAAGAGAAUUAAGCUUUGGAAGAGAAUUAAGCUUCGGAAUAUUGCCAAUAUGCAACCGAUAAUUUCUAAUUCUAUCACUUUUAUUCUAACAUGUGAUUUGGAAAGAGAAUUAAGCUUCGAAAUAUUUCCAAAAUGCAAGGAAUUGAGGAGGCCAAGUGGGCAACCACCAUAGCUAGUUCGCAAACAAAUGAUAGCAUUGGAAGUGGAACACAACACAUAAACUUCAAAAACAAAACAUGUUUCUCACGAUCAUAAAUACCAAGAUGUUUAAGCAUGAGGUAAGUCAUCUCUUGACAAUGAUGUGAGAGAGACACAAACAACAUACCAGUAUUCAAGAGAAGUAGCAUUCUUCUUUUGCAUUCGACAACAUUCAUUUAUUUUACAUCCCAAAUUUUAGCAACUCGGGAUUUCCACCUUCUUUAGGAUUGUAAGAAGUUGGCCUCUUGAAAACACAUGAGAGGGCAUUUAGAAAUCUGAAAGAAUUCCAGAGACUUUCUAUUGCUUGAAUUGUGAAUCAUUCCAAUCAUAAAUACCAAGGUUCUAAGAUCAAGUAAGGCAUCUCUUAAUAAUGAUGUGAGAGAUAAAGACAAGCAGUACACCAGUAUUCAAGAGAAGUAGUAUUCUUCUUUUGCAUUCGACAACAAUCAUCUACUCUACACCCCAAAUUUUAGCAACUUAGGAUCUCCACUUUCAUUAGGAUUGUAGAAAGUUGGCCUCUUGGAAACACAUGAGAGGAUAUUUAGAAAUCUAAAAGAAUUCCAAAGACUUGUUAUUGCUUGAAUUGUGAAUCAUUCCAAUCAUAAAUACCAAAGUGUUCCAAGAUCAGGUAAGACAUCUCUUGGCAAUGAUGUGAGAGAUAGAGACAGGGAGCAUACCAGUAUUCAAGAGAAGUAGUAUUCUUCUUUUGCAUUCGACAACAGUCAUCUACUCUACACCCCAAAUUUUAGCAACUCAAGAUCUCCACCUUCAUUAGGAUUGCAGGAAGCUGACCUCUUGGAAACAUAUGAGAGGAUAUUUAGAAAUCUGAAAGAAUUCCAGACACUUGUUGCUUGAAUUGUGAAUCAUUCCAAUCAUAAAUACCAUGGUGUUUCAAGAUUAGGUAAGGCAUUUCUUGGCAAUGAUGUGAAAGAUAGAGACAAGCAGCAUACUAGCAUUUAAGAGAAGUAGUAUUCUUCUUUUGCAUUCAACAACAUUCAUCUACUCUACACCCCAAAUUUUAGCAACUCAAGAUCUCCACCUUCAUUAGGAUUAUAGGAAGCUAGCCUCUUGGAGACACGUGAGAGGACAUUUAGAAAUUUGAAAGAAUUCUAGAGACUUGUUAUUGCUUGAAUGUGAAUUAUUCCAAUCAGUAACAACCCCAAAGCCCUAUAUACAAUUUUGAACUGUCAACCUUCUUACAUUGAAUGAAAAAC
rnacentral:lncRNA from 1 species